rnacentral:lncRNA from 1 species
CAAAGAUUUCAGGUCGACGGGGUCAAGGUAGGUGUCACGGGACGUGGUAUGCUACUCGUGAGAUAUUUUUACACUUUGGAUCGAAAAUAAACCCAUGAACCCGGGUCGAGGGUCGAAGGUAGUGAACCUGUUUUAUGUGACUAUGGACACACCACUACGUGGCUAUGAUGAUUGCCAUGUGCCGAAUCUGGAGCUAUCCCAUCUAACCUCUACCCGUGAUCCAAUCUAUGGCUUACUAGCUUUUUUGGUAUAUAAGCCUAGUGCUCCAAUGGGUCCGGUUUGUCAGUGGUUUCUUCAUAUUUCCCUCCCAUAGACUUGAACAAAUUGAGCUUAGCCAGCUCAGGCCGAUCCCGACAGGUGGCUCUCCCAUAAAUAUUAGUGGACAGGGCCUGGACAUAGAUCAUGCUAAAAAAUAUUGGCCCAAGCACGGCCCGGAAGACUAUUUUUAGCUAUUUUACACUAUCAAAUGCGCAGGCGACCCGACUUGCCCAAUAGGACAGUCAUGGGUGGGACUUUGUCAUCCUAAAAUAACUAGAUUUUGUUGCAUAGCCCAAACCCAGCCCACAUGUAAAAUGCUUAGGUCUACUCCUCCGUUUGCAAAGAAGCCAACUAUGAUGAAUCUCAAGCAUUUCAACAUUAGUGUGAUACAAAUAUUUUCAAAGUUUAGCUCUACUAGCAGCUUUAUUAAUAGAGUUGAACCUAUUGUGAUCAAAUAGUUGGUUGAACAUUUUUAUUCUUUUAUUUAUUUAUUUUCCCUUCAUCCUAUUCAUCCAUCCACCAUCCAUUUCUGUGACUCGGUGACUCCAACUCUGCUCCGUCCUACUACCUUGGUUUGGUCUUGGGCCAUGCCCCUCGCAACUCUGCCCCCACGCAUGACUCCACUCCUACACUAUGCAUGUCUUGGUGAGGCUAUUUAUUGGGCUCUACGUUGGUUUUCUACUGCCAAAUGUGCAAUUCAUGGAAGGAGCAAAUCAAAUGAUUCAGUAGGUGGAGUCGUGGAGCUUCUCCCAGAGUGGCUCAAGGAGCACUACCAAACAAGACCCUAGUCAUUCUAUCGUUGAAAUUUUUGGUAUCGCUUUUUGUUGGAAUAAUUAACUACUUGCUACCCUAACAAUAUGAACAAUAGUCCAAUCAACACUUAGUCUAGUGUUAAUGACUUAAAGUGCUCGACAUGUUAGUGAGAAAGUGAACUGGGUGCUAGUUAAGGGUGUCUAAUAAUAACUAAAUGUCCCAUUCUUGUUCAACUAGACUAGGGCCUUAUUUGAAUACUACAUACUAUGAAAUUAGAUUAUAAAAGCUAGAUUAGAAGGCUCUUUGGAUCAAUAAACUCAACAUAGUACCCUCAUUAUUUGCCAAUUAGCUAGUGCUCUGUGCAUAGUGAAAUGUGAAUGAAAGCUAGUUUUUUCAACUUCUCAUAUUGUGGACUCUUGACCGCUCUAGAUUGUUAAAGUUGGGCAUAAAGCGUGCAUGUUUGGAUCUCUACCUUGGGCCCACUUUGGUCUAUAGGUUUCUCAAAAUCUCCUAUAGAGGUUAGUUCACCAAAUAACAUAGUAUGGACUUUGUUUGAAAAUGAAAUGUCAUGAUCAUGCUAUGGUCAUCGCUUUACUUUAGAGAUAUUGAUGGUCAGAAUUAGGGUUUAGUGACUGUCAACAAUAGUAUAACCCCAAUUAAGCAUGUCCAUCAUCAACCACUUGAUACAAGAAACAUAUAACCCAAGCCCACCCCGUGGGAAUACUUGAAACAUCAAAAGUUUUCUCUAGGAUCAUAUCCAUAAGUAUUUCAUAAGCACUUCAAAUCAAAUGCAUUUGAAAUAUAUUACUAUGUAAUGUGAACAUAUAAUUUACUUCAAGGGUAUAAUGAAAGAGUUAUAUGCAUGUAACAGAAGUAUGAAUAAUUUUAUGAUAGGGUUAACAUAGUUUUUACACCAGUUCUAGAAACCAAUUAGAAGUACAAAAUAGCUCUUAACAUAAAACUACUACUCCAUGGGACUUGGAAAAUAAAAAAAAACUACUACAACUACAUAAGAAUGAUAGUCACGGCACGCUGCACCCACCACCAGCCUCUUGAACACCAGACUAUGUUAGUCAAGUGAAUGCAAGUGCCAGCCACUUCGGACAUGCAUUUGGCUCACUAUCAAGGAGUGGCUCCUCCACUUGGGUCUUCAUCUGCAACAUGUAAGCACAAAACCCUGAGUACUCACUCAAUAUACUCAGCAAAACUUACUCAACCAAAUGGGUAUAUACAUAGCGCAAGUGUCAAGGGGAUGUUGGGGGUUUCCAGAAAACUUGCUAUUUUUGGAUCCUUAACUUGCAAGUUUAAGUAGUAAUUUUUUGUUUUUUACCUAAUAGACUAAAUGUGCAACCAAUGCUAAUCCAACCAUGUUGAUAGAUAAGCAUCCAACAAUAAUGUAAGUACCACUUAAUUAUCAUCUAUAUUCAAAUAAAAUGUUUCACUUGUUUACACUAUGAUGUUGGAAAUUAGACAAGGUUCUUGUUAUUUGUGGGAGAUGGCAAUUCGAAUUGAUUUAUUGUCUACUUGGGUAAACUAAAAUCACAUGACAUGUGCACCUGAGUGGAUCACAUGCAAUAACUUUUCCCUUGUACUCACAAGAAUAAGGCCUAUAAACUCACCCAACCACCCUGAAGAAUCCAUUUCCAUGGAUCAUGUCCCAGACAAGUCUCUCAACCACGAGUUACAACUAUGAAUCUCUGCCUCCGACUACCACCAAAGGAGCUAGUGAUACAAUUUAGUAAACCGCAUAGCAGACACCUUAGGGUGAGGAAGGUACAUUGGUUUCCUAGUCUAAUAUUAGGUCAUUAUGCAAUUAGUACAUUCAAUCUUGUCCAAGACACUCCAAAGAUUGGAACAAUCCUUAAUCAAUUCAAAUGGGACUAUUGCAAUCAGAACCCAUGCAACUCCAUUUGCCUAUAGUGACCAUAACAUUUCUUACCCAGUCUCAAGUUUACCAUUCAUCAUCAUGUACUACUAUCUAGGAAAUGAUCAUAAUAGUAAGGGAGAAUUGGCUGUGGGACAUGCAGAAUGGUGGCCAUUUGCCAGCGGACACUAGGAAAAAUUAGAUUACUCAAAGACACUCCGUUUCUUAAUAAUGAGAGUAAUGAAAUCCUAUCUCUCGCUAGUGAUGAAAGCACUGCUUGGCUUCUACCAAGUUUUACUAGCAUGGCAACAACUCGACUCUAUAUUCUAGUAAGACAAUUCACUUUGGAUCUUUUUGUGCAACUCUACACAACCAAAUGUGUGUCAUACAUACAACUUGAUAAUUAUAAUUGUAGGGCAAAAAGUAAUGGCAUGCAUUGGGGCUUCCCUUGGUUCAAGUCAAGGUUAAUAGUUAACUCGAGGGUGGCAAUUGGUAUGGUAUCACCAUAUAUAUCCUCCUCGACCACCUCCUCCAUGAACUACUAUUCUUCUAGUGGGAACUAGUUAGCCACAAGGGUUCCUAAAUGCAUGAAGAUGCAAUGCAAUGAAUAUGAAUAGAUGCACUAAUGCAAUGGUCAAUGAAGUUGGAUUUUAGGAAUACAAGAAGCCUAGUUAAAUUUAUUAGGUUUGGUUAUCCCUGACUCUGCUAAGUUGUUGCCUUAUGCCAACAAGUUUAUACUCAUGAAACAUAGUUGUUAUAUACUUAUGGUCUCCUACUUAUAUGAUUUUACUUGGCUUAUGCGAUUUCACUAGGCUCAUGUACAACUUACUCGAGGUUCUAGGAAUCUAGUCGGUAGUACCUAAGAAUGUCAUAAGUAUUAUUUAUACUUAUGUUCACUCAAAGGCUUUAGAGCUCUAUCAGAGAGUUUGUUAACUCAACUAUAGGUGCAGCGUCAGCAUCCAACAUGUACCUAUGUCUCCUUUUGAUGAUUUGCUACAAGGCAAAGAUCACAUCAGCAAUUUCGACCACGUCUAGCUCAAGGCCAAUGACAGGCCAUGACCUAAGAGGAAGCCCAAGCCAAGUACCAAGGUGUUUGGGCCCAUGUGGCAAGGUAGUAUAAGUACUAGAUCUAAGAGCUAAGAGGAACUAUGAAAAUUGUAUCAAACCUAUUACUAUUAAUGCAAUCCUAUCCUACUUCCUAAGCUCCUCUGCUUCCCCUUUGUCCAAUUCCCUUUCCCUACUAUUACCCUAUUAACAUGCAGUCUACUACUUAUAUUAGUUAUCAGCUAGGUUCUCAUUUUAGGAUUCAACUUUUCCUUGUGGGUAAAACAUUGGGAGGAUUCAAAGGAAGGGCAAAUUCUAUAUGAGCAAUGGGCCAUACAAGUCAAGGAUGUUUACCUUGGUCUUUUGUUUGGGCCAAGCAAAGUAAAAGAACUCCAAACUUGAUGGUCCCAUGGGACUUCGGUGGUUGAAGAUGGCAAAUGUAGCUCUGACUGUGAUCAUUUAUUACCACCCACAAGUGAUGGUGGUCUAUUAAAGAGUCAUAGGUAGUAGUGGUGCUGAAGGCAAGGUGGAGUUGUACCUAUGAGGCUUGAGCUGAGGAGGGGUUACAACUAUGAUAGUGGAAAAGCUUCUAUGAGCGCGAACGAGGGUGAGUGAAAGGAAGAAGAAAAUGCAUGCUAGGGAACAAAGUGUGUGGGCGACUGAAGAGAUGGUAUUUGUAGGCGUGCUAGCUAGGGCAUAUAAUGUAAGCCAAGCAAGAGUCACAAACAUAUCCUCAAUCUGUGCAUAUCAGUGCAAUGUGGUAGUGUCACACACUAGCUGAACGGAGUUUUUUUGCCCUCAAGGGCAUAUGCUCCCACUCUCUCCACCACUAGAUUCGCAUUGAGAAGUGUGCAAACACACAUCUCAAAGCAGAUUCGCAUUGAGAUGUGUGUUUGCAGACUUCUCAAUGCGAAUCCAGUGGUAGAGAGAGUGGGAGCACAUGCCCUUGAGAGCAAAAAUAACUUUCCCCACACUAGCUAGUAAACAUAUGCAUCCAUUUGUCAGAUUUGAGCCGACAUUAGGGAUUGUGUGGACUGUGAUGGUUAGAUAGAAUAAUAGUUGUUGUAAUAGUGGAUAAUAUGGCUGGUGCGUACCUGUUCAUGUAGAGUGGUGGUGGUAUAGUGCUUUGCAUAGUGAUAGAAUAUUGUCUCAUACUUUGUUCUCUUUAUACCAGGAACAUACAUCCAUAAGUUUGGUAUUUAAAACUCUACCAACUAGGGACUUCCAACAAUAGUAAGGUUGGCAAUAGUCGGGCACACUACUCAGCCUAGUCGACUAAAUGUAUAUAGGCACUCGGCUUGACUAACUGACUGAAAGCUCAGACUUACUUGAAUCAGGGUAAGGCUCAUUCUCUACACUCAUGAGUCACUCUACUAGAUGGGGCUAGUGCCUACGUGAUGAAGACAAAAUUAUCACUUGACCAUAGCCAUAGCAUCUCAACAUGAUGCCAGUUGAUUUGACAAUGACCUUAUAUUUUCAUGGAAGAUGAUUUGGUUGAUGGGCAUGGCAUGUUGAAAAGUGUUUGAGUUGAUGUGUGAAAUGAUAUGCAUUUUAGCGUGGGGCUUUAGCGAGGUCAUGAUUGGUUGAGUUGAAAAGUAUUUUAGCAUGGGGCUUUAGCGUGGGCAAGGCAUGUUGAAAAGUGUUUGAGUUGAUGUUGAUUUAUACUAUCUUUUCCUUUAUCCUUAAUGCAAAAAAGCCUAAUUAUGCACAAUAUUGACAAUGCUCAUGAAAUAAAUAUGCUUAAUACUUGGGCUGUUACAACUUGCUUGGAGUUCAAUUCAACUAUCUGAUUACAAUAUCUGGAGGAAUCAGACUAAUGAAAACAUCAUUAUAUAUUCCUAAGGCGAUAUUGGAACCACUGGUUAGGUAUAUAUGAUGGCUAAGGAUGUGUCCCUCCUAAACCCAACCAUAUAGCUUGAUGCUACCCAUUUAUUUGUUGUGUUACCAUCCCUAUUAGUAGUAAUGUUUGAAGUUCUUCCAUAAUAAACUUUAAUGAUACAUAUCUCAGGAACAAAGAAGUUACUAAUCAUAAGAUAUCUUGGAUAAGGUUUUAUAAGUCAUAAUUGAAUAUGGGCAAUUGUUUUUAUUUGGACUUUUGAUCUUACAAGCAAGCACAUCCAUUAGUUGCACGUUGCGUAUUUGUAUUGAAAAUAGUAUUACAUACUAUGACUCUAAUAUGGUCAACUUUUACUUCAAACAAGGAGGAUAAUGUGAUAGAUUACAAAGGAGAAAUUAAUUCAAAAAACAUACCUUUAUCUCUUUAAGAUAAAUUCAUAUUUUUGGACUGAAUAUAUGAGUUAACUGCUAUCUUUAGACCAUCCUACAUUAUAAUUUAGGAAAGUGUCAGCAUAUAAAGGGUUGUAAUAACAAAAAAAUAAUUAUGUAGAGACACCAAAAGGAUUUAAGUUUAACCAUGAGUGUCACAGUAGGUUUGUAGCCAAGUUCUUCAACAGCUCUGUUACAACUAAAUGUUCUGUUAAGUGUCAUAUACUUAAUCCUUGCUGGUGUUACCCUUUGAGUUUGGCAUAUUCCAUAACGAUGUAGAAUCAUGUAUGCCCACUCAACCAAAUAGCUUACUAGCUUCAUGAGAGACAAAGGUAUCCUUAUCGUGAACAGUCUACAAUAAACUUAAAACAUGUUAGCAAAAUCGUGUAUCAUGUGCUUUGAAUUAUGAAAAGUAUUUAAUAAAUAAAACAAAUAAACUAUUUAUCAUAUGCAUAAAUUAAAGUACAAUUUUUUUUGAAAGAGCACCUUUUAUGUCCAAGUUCUUCUUGAACCAUAUGUAGAAAGUCCCACAAAUUGAUUGGCUCCAUAUUAGUUAUAAAGUAGGCCUAAAACAUUCAAAUAUAUAUGUGAUAUUUUUUUAUAGAAGAAACUCGAGUUCCCACUCAAAUUAAAAACAUACUUUUCCACCACUGGUUUUUGCACCCUCUAUAGUAGAAAGAGUCGUAUCAGCACAUAUGUGACCAUAUACCACAUUUUCAACGUACACAAAAUCAUCACAAUUCUUCCCAUCGCCAAUAAUAAACUGCAGCAACUUAAAGCUGAUUAGAACUGGAUAUUCUAACAGAGCAUAAACUUUUUAAUUAGUAGUCUCAUUAGCUCCAAUUGAGUUACAAAGGGUUAAUAGUGUCUGCUGUUGAUUUUUUGGGUUGAUUUGGUAUGGUAUUUGGUCUGCCAAGCCCUAUAUGUAGUCCGCAGUCCAGGCUGAAUCAAGCUAGAUGUGAUAAUAAAGUUUGUCCCAUGACUAAGGCUUGCACAACAUCCACCACCUCUCUCUAUUUGGGCAAAGGAGAAAAGACGCAACACAUGGAGAAGAAGAAAGAGAAUUUAAGGCUUGCUUUCUUAUCAUGCAUGCUGGUUCCUAGGAAAAAAUGAGCUACCUCUGUCCUCUAUCUUUGUUUUACCAUUAAUUUUAUCUAACUCAUGGUUGCGGUAUGUAGAGGCAUCACUAUGUAGUGUCAAUGAUAAAUAUAGGUAUUAUUUAUUUUAUUCAAAAUAGUUUUAUAAUUUACUUUUCCUUGUUAGUUUUAUAACAUAAACCAUAGCAUAGAAUAUAAUCCCUUACAUUUGUCCUUCCAUAACUAUCUAAAGUUGGCAUCACCAUGUCACCUGGGCCAAAUAUGCUACCAGGACGUAAGCAACAAGUUAGAAGGUCAUUAAUGUCAUUGGCCUUGAUGACUAACUUCUCUGCUUCUGCCUUUGUUUGUGUAUAUGCAUCAGGAAACUGCCAAUAAAAAAGUGUUUGGUCAAAAAUGUAUACACGCAUUCUAAGCAAAAUAGUAUAGGCAACAUUCCAAAAUUAAAUCUCUUCAUCAAAUAAAUAGUAACUUUGUCAUCUCGUGAAGCAUAGCUAUAUUGAAGAGAAAGAUGCAGCGUAGGUAGUAUAAAACAUUGAGUGCCUGACUGAUUAUCAAUAUUUCUAAUGCUUUUUCAGAAUAUGUAUAUAACGCUUUUUGAGUAAAUCUUUAGGUGUAACCUUAUCUGGGUAUGGCAAUGACUCAUUUACAUCAAAAAGUCCAUGAACACCGUCAAACACAACACCACUAGAACUGGUGUGUAUAAGCCUUUUCACCUUGCAGAUCUUACAAGCAUCAAUCACACUCUUUGUUCCUAUGUAUGUGGUAUACAUAAAAGCUAAUUAGUAAAUUUAACUUCCUAUAUAUGCUACUUUAUAAAAGUGAACAAAAAUAUCCUUAUGGAUUCAAUUGAUUUUCUCUACUAAAAAGUUUAUAUAUAUAUAUAUACAUAUAUAUAUAUAUGUUAGUUAUAUGCAGUUGCCUAGUAUAGCAGUAGCAUAACAUUUUCUUAGGCUUAAAUUUAAGCUGAAUACACAUACAAAAGGAAUGCUACCAAUUUAUGUUUUGAUAUAACAUAUUCCUUUUAAGCAACUCUCAUGAUAAACAAACUAAUAUGUGGCUCUCAAAGAAUGCUAGCGCAGAUAUUCUCAACACAUUUAUAUGUGAAUAAAAAACAACUUUAUCGAGUACCAUGUUAUAGAGAAAAACAACAUAGGUAGAACCAAUCAGGCAUGGAAUAUAUAUAGCUAAAUUCAUGGAAUAGUGAAAAACAAUAUAGGUAGAACAAAUCUUUUUAUUUACUAACCCUCGACAUUGACCUUGUAGUGAAGUGGCAAGUUGUUCUUGAUAGGAUCCGCGGUAGCUGUGUGGAAAACAACAUCUACCCCUUCAAAAGCUGCAUACAAAAGAAAAAAAUGAGCUUAUAUAACUAAGAAAACAACAAACUACCAUAUGUUGCAUAUUAAGGGAAUGCAUCACAACUGCAGUCUGUGGGCAGAUGUGUUGUUAAACUAUUAUUUAGUUGAGUGGUGGUUUAGUCCAAAGAGUGCUCCAGAUAAUGGUUACCUAUUAAUGGCCAAAAGUUAUCACCCUUUUUUCUAUACAUGGAUGUUAAUCACAUAAAUGCAAACAAUGUUUAGGUCCGUAUGUGUAGUGUAAAGACUUCGUUUCAAUCAUUCAUUUCCUUUUAGGGCAUGUUAUAGCCAAUGUAGAGUGCAUUGUGUAUUUGUGCGUCUAAAUGGCACAAUCCCUCUAUAUGUAAAUUUAUUUUAAAUAAAUGGUAAUCUCAUUUUUUAUAUCGGUGAGUCAUGCCAAGUAUAGUUGUGUUAUGCGCAAAAAGUUAGGUUGUCAAAUGAUGAUGAUAUGUUCAUGUGUAAUUUUGGUCACAUGUCUAUAUGGUUGCAGUAUAAAUAAAGUAUAUGCUUAUAAUUGUGGAUACUAAUAUUUAUGAAUACUCCAUUACAAAAUGUUACUUAGGCAUGUAUAUUGCAAAUAAAACUAGAAAUUAACUAAUGGUGUUACCUUUCGAUUAUUAUAUUACUACAUACCACCAUAAUAUGCCAUCCUCGUUUAUUGUGACACUAUGAAACAUAGAUAUAAUCAUGUACCCCAUGAUUCAAGUUUAUUUUUGUUACAAAACUAAACAAAAAAGCAUGUAAGGUUGAAGAGAACAACAAGCAGGCGCUAGUUUUUUUCCGUGUGUGGGUUUUGGCUACUCUUGCUGAACAAGCCUAAACUCCAAGCAACUGGAAAUGCUACAAUUUUGAGUCCACCGGUGUGAAUAGGUGUGUGUAUCAUAUCGAGAAGAGCAGAGUUCAUGAGUUUAGAGGGUGUAUGUGUGAAACGGCUAGCUUAGAGGCAAUGGGUAGUGGAUGAAGUAUAGAGUAGGAAGGUGUGGCUAUGCUGGUCUAGGCGGGGAACAAAGGAAGUAUAAUAAUUUAGGCCCCUAUGGCAAGUGAUAAGUUUGGAGGUUAAUGACAAAUAUGUUAUUGUAACUAAUUUUGUUUUGAAGGAACAAAUCUGAAGUUAGAUAAUACAACACAUGAUGAUUGUGAUCCUCAACUUUGGUUGCAAGGCAAUCAACGACUCAAUCAAAAGGUAAGGACUUUUCUAGAGUUAAGUGUCACAAAGGAGAUGAAGGAUACUUAGGCAAAUAUGUUUUUCUAGUUUUUAGUCUUUGACUAGUUAUAAAGGAGGGAAUAAAGGAGAUAGUAGUUUGACUAAGUGACCACGAUAAAAAAGGGAGGACUUAAGCUUUCUACCCCUGAAGUUUUGAAGUGUGGUGAUUUUGUCCUCGUCUUUUUUUUUUUACUUUGUGAUCUUACCCCCGCGGUUUUUAAAAGGAGAGUUGACCCCUACUCCAUGAAGUCUCUCUAAUGGUGUUAACUUUUGGACAAAAGAACAGGCUUAGGUUCUGGACGAACGAAUUGUCUAUGUUUAACACUUUAUUUUUUUUAAAAAAAUAGUGUCUCCUCUUUUUAGUUAGUUUUUGUUAGGUCAUGUCGCUGAACAAACUAAUAAAUAACAUUUAUAUUCAGUAUCAGGAGCAGAAUAUAUAUCUUUCGUUGGUUCAAAGAAACACACACACACAAGAGAGAGAGAGAGAGAGAGAGAGAGAUGGAUUUUAAUUAGUUUAUAAUGAAUCCAAGAGUAUAUCACCUGUAGUAAGCUGCUCGAAGUUGCAGACAUCCACGGAGGCAUAGACGGCUCGGCCGUCGCCGAGGGCAUCCCGGAGGAGGUCCUCCGUCUCGCCGGGGCCGAGCACCAAGGAGGGUGCGAGGUCGGUAACCCGAACAUGCCAACCGGAACGGAGCAACGCGGCCACCAGGUGCCUGGCCAUGAAUCCCCGGCCGCCGGUCACCGCGCACCACCUGGUCGCCUUCGCCUCUCGUCGGCCAUCGUCAGAACGCGGCGAUCCCAUUUUUGCUAUAGGACACAGUACAGUCACACGUUGUUAGAGCUGUGUGUAUGUGUGUCCAAAAACAUAUACCUCUCUUGUAGGUGUUAGGUGUAUCAUAUAUACAGCCUGGACGAGGACGACCAAGGUUACAUGAAUCCGCUAAAUCCAACGUCCACAAGAAAAACUUGGCAGGCACCAGGCAAGAAGGCCGGCCGGCCGGCCUAUAAAUUAAAGGUGCCUCCGUGCAUUGUUAUUUAUAUUGAAAGGGCAAUCAUUGUGAUGCUUCUAGAUCAUCCAAUCAUAUUAUUAUAUUGAAACCUGCGAACCCAAAUCCUUAAUCCCUCCCUGAUGAGGUAAGUAGCUGGGUCACCAAUGACUCUGUUGAUGUAAGCUUGCUGCGGUGUGACGUGGAGUUGGUUUGGUGUUCAGCUGUGGAGGCGGGAGAACCGGAGAAGCACAUUACAAUUCGAGUCAAACAAGACGCAGCGGGAGCGCUCAGCGCGCGCCGGGGAGCGGGGAGGCUGGUGACCGCGCCCACGGCGCGCUCUGGAGCAUUGCAUUGGCAUCCCUUUGUAUCUUGUUUUAGCAGUUUUUAUUCUGUGUAACCAAUGUAUGUAAGCUAUUGGUAUAAAUAGCUGGAUCUUAUAUGUGUGUGUUAGCGCAUUUAACUGAUGUAAUCGUGUCCUGUACUGCACAUUAAAAUCGGUGGAAAAUAACACUGUUCGCCGAUAGUUGCCGUUCGUGUUCACCUCUGUUCUUGCGUGUUCUUGCUUUUUCUAGGAUAGCCACCGCGCGCGUGAUAUUGUGUGUGAUUUGAUCCUCGGUCCCAAUAGACUCUGACCUUAAUCCUCCAGUUAUCGUUGCACCAGUGCCUGCAUAGAGAUUGACAUUGACUUCAUGAUGAAACAAGCCUAAGGACAAAAAGGACAGAACCUUGGAAUUGAUCACAGAUGGUUCAAAAACAUUGCGGUAGCAAAGCCGGCAACGGAUUCGCAGCUGGUGGAGGCUAGACGGCUAGCUAGGCCAUGUACAAGUACAACGCAGAGAUGCUUGAGCAGGCGCUUCAAAAUAGAAGCUAAUUUGGUUUUAGACAAACGUCCUAACCUGUACAAUGGAACAAAUUACUUCUGCUGCUAGGUGCUAACAACCCCCUCUCUCUCCCCGACCCGGCAUCGCGCAGAAGCACUGCUGCCCCAUGAGGGUUCGCAGCAUGGACCACCAGCAAGAGAACAAGCAACCUUGCGAGGACCACUGCCAGGUGAAGCACAGCCAGACUCCCUUCCCUGCAAACAAUGCUGGAGUGCCACCAUGCCAUGGGUCUCUAAUGGCGAGAAGCAGAAGGCUUGUCAAGUCCGUUCUCCGUACAGUCCCAAUCUAUGCAAUGAUGGUAGAGAACCUACCGUCGUGACAAGGAAAGAAAUCGAUGUCAUAUGUAAGAAACUUUUUUGGAUAGGAUCAGACGCGUCUGUUCAAGGGAAAUGCAUAUAUGGUGGCUUGGCCAGCAUUGACGCAGCUGGUAGGGCUAGGAGUUAGCAACCUCAUCAAACUCGUAGGGUUCGCACUCCAAACAAGAUAGUUCUGGCUACAAAAGACCGAUCAAGAUUUGACAUGGAGCUGCUCAUCCAAACGGCUCCUCAAGUGCUAGCCUUCUUCAGGGCUUCAACCUAUAACCUGAUUGGAGACGGGCGCGCCAAACCCUUCUUUGGGAAAACAGAUGGAUCAAUACAGGAUCGGUCAAGGACAUUGCGAUUGCGACAUGCCUAUACCAGCUAGUGCCCAGACGAACAUGCAAGAGACAAUUGGUGAGGGAAGGAUUGACAAAUAGGUCGGAUUUGUAGUAGCAUAUCCAGGGGCUAUCGACACUAGCAAUUGCUAGCGCUAGACUCAGGACGGGGUUUACUCCGCGAAGUUGACAUACAAAAUGCUACAUGUAGGCUCUACACCGAUCCUUAGUCACAAAUUGAUUUGGAAGAUAUGGGCUGCCCUACGGAUCAAAAUCUUCAACUGACAGAACAGCGAGGCACGGCCUAGAGGCGAGAGGGGAAGCUAUUUCUGCUAUCAAGAGAAACGAUCGACCUCACUAGAGAGGUUUGGUCAAACUUAAAAUCUUUUAACUCUCCAAGUUUUUUGAAGUGGCUUAUAAUAGAGAGAGUACAUUUGAAGUAAUAUUAUAUAAAUAAGUUCACACAUAAAUUAUUUCACAUGUCUCUCUUUCUUUCUAGCUAUUGCGCCAUCUCUAGUCCACGAUAGCUUUGCUCUGACGUGAGACUAUUAUCUCUCCUGGAGCGUUGGGCUUGGCCUAUGAGUGUGAAUGGUACUUUGCCGAGUGUUUGUGGCACUUGACAAAUGCCCAAAUACACUCGGCAAAACUUUUGCAGAGUGCCAUACUUAGCAAAGAUCACACGGCAAAAUUUUAAUCGGCAAAUGGAUAUUUACUGAGUGUUAUUUUUCGGGUACUCGGUAAAGCUUUUACCGCGUGCCCGGCACUCGGGAAAGAUAGAAACAAAAAAAAUCCAAAAAAAAUAAGAAAAAAAGGGGGAAAAUUAUUCUUCACAGUAGGCUUGUGCCCACCCGACCUCUCUAUCACAUGUCUUUCUCUUUAACCACUACACCACACUAUCACUCAUGUUUAUAUUGCAUUUCGGUUCCUCAUAUAUUAUAUCAAAUCAUGUGUAAAUUGAUUAUUUGAAGUUCUAAACGAUUUCAAAUCAAAAAGUUGUCAAUUAUAAAGUUUCAUAACUUUUUAGGACCUACAAUUUUCAUUUAAAGAGUUUAUCCAUCCAAGGUCAUUUAUAAAAUUUGAAUUUCAAAUUUAAGAAAUUCAAACGUAGUUUUUGCAUGACAAGAUGAUUUAAAAACAAAAGGUUAUCAACUAUAAAGCAUUACAACUUUUUAAGAUAUACAAAGAGUAUUUAGUGAGUUUUUCUAUCCGAGGUCGUUUAAAAAAUUCGAAUUUUCAAAAUUUUCAAUUAAAGACGUAGUUUUGCAUGAUAAGAUGAAUUCAAAUAAAAAGUUGGCAAAUAUAAAAUUUCAUAACUUUUCGAGAUCUAAAAGAGUUUAUUUUGGUUUUUGUCAUUUGUUCAUCCGACAUAGUGAUUCUAAUAUUUUUCAUAAAUCUUAUAUAUCUCUCUUGUAGUUUUAUAAACUAUAAGAAAGAUAUGUAAUAUUUAUGAAUAAAUUUAUUUUGACUUUGUUAAAUGAAGAAAUAACCAAAAUAAAUAUUGUAGAUUUUGAGAAGUUAUAAUGAAAACUUUUUUAUUUGAAUUCGUUUAGAACUUUAAAAUUCAAUUUGAAAUAUUCUUUGCCGAGUUUUUUUUACACUUGAUAAAGGUCUUUGCUAUGUGUAAAAAAAACAUUCGGCAAAGAAACUUCUUUACUAAAAAUCAAAAGAACAUUCAACAAAGAAGCUCUUUGUCGAGUGUUUUUUUUUACACUCGACAAAAAAGACUCUUUGUUGAGUGUUUUUUUUUGCCAAGUAUUUUUCUUUUAGCACUUGAUAAAUAGUUUUUUCGUCAAAUGAUCGAAAAAAAUACUCGCUAAAGUAUUUAACACUCGAGUACUCGACGAAGACUGGAUUCCGGUAGUGCGCCGGGAGCAAGCGUUGAGUCUGACGCGCGGGGCAGCCGCUGCCAUGCCCCCCUGUGCAGGCGUUAUCUGCGGCGAGUGGUGGCGCGAGACGUACGCCGCAUGCAUGCCAUUUGCCAUGGCCAGCCUGCCUUCCCCAUCGUCGCCGGCACACGCGCGCGCGUCGUCGCUGACAGCGAGCGCCCGGCUGACCAGACGUGCGCACACAUGCAAACAAAUAGUACACGUACGCGAUGUUUGGUUGCUAGCCAUAAUCUACCAAAGUAAUUUUAGUUAAGUGUGGCAAGCUAAAAAAAAGUAUGGUUAGCAAAUUGGUUGCCACACUUUGCCAUGUCUAAAGAAAUUUUGUCAUAUUUUUUAACUCUACGACAUGUGGAGCCCAAAAAAAUCAUGCCUAAGCUUAGUUGUCAACCAAACAUUUGUCAACUUGAUCAAACUUGUCUAAAUUAAAGUAUGGUAAAUUAUGGCUAACAAAACCCCUAGUCCAUCAAAGCGCGCUCACGAACCAAGUACGUACACACUCCUACGUCACAGUGGCUUGCGUCAGCGGAGCCACGCAAGCCGUGCUCCGUAUACAUACAGUAUAUAUACGUACGUAUGUGAUAUACGACUGCAUACAUCGUCAGAAGACACGUCUCUGCCGCAAGCUCUGCACGCGAAAAAACCGUGCGUGAAAUGUGAAUAAGCACCGGCUGCAUCUAAAAAUAUACAUGUGUCGUCAGGAGUUAUCCGAUCCUAAACCUAACGAGGCGCCGUGGCCCAGGCCAGCAAAAGCCAAAAUAUCUCAUAUUCUCAGGCGUGCAUGUAUGUAUGGAGUCAAAAAAAAAGUGUGGAUACAAAACCAUUGUACUAUGUAUCAUCAGUUUAAUUGUAUAUCGCAUAAAGUAGGUAAGUACUGUAUGUACAUCAUGAACGACAUGUCAUCAGUGUCCUACAUUCUGUGGACAUGUUUGUCGCCAGCAUCUUCGCAUAGCCCUAGCCCGGUGACGGGGUGAACUUUCCCAAUCUAUAUAUAGCUAGAUCCCUCCUUAUCUGUACAAGUACAUAAACAGGCAACAUAUAUAUGUGCUUUUCUGCUACAGCAGGAGCUCGAUACGAGCUAGCCGACCACAUCUAGCUAGAUCUCUCUCCUUAUAAUUAUCUGUACGCACAGGCAUCACCAUUAGCUGAACUACAUGCUAGCUUAGCCACUUGCUAACUUCGCCGCUUUCACCAUUAGCUGGAUGCAUUGGCCAUUUUUAGCCUGACAUUUGCAGUUCUCGUGGCCCAGAUCGAUCUGUCGGACUGUGACAGUCAGCACUUGAUCAGCAGGGAGAGGCUGCAGGGCUGUUGGUGAGAGAGAUGAACACUAAUAAUAAGACAAACAGCAGAAGCGGCGGCGGUACAACAGGGAGGAGAUCAAGGAGCAGGAGCAACAGCAACAAUGCCAGCACCGGCACCGCCACGACGACGACGGCGGCGGCGGCGGCGGCUAUGGAGAGGAAGGAGAUCGAGAGGAACAGGAGGCUGCACAUGAAGAGCCUCUGCUUAAAGCUCGCCUCCCUCAUCCCCAAGGAAGAACACUGCUCUUCCAAGGACGCCAUGACCCAGCUGGGUUGCCUGGACGACGCGGCGGCGUACAUCAGGAAGCUCAAGGCGAGAGUGGACGAGCUGCAGCGCGCGCAGCUCUCGCUUAGCAACAAGAGAGGAGAAGACUACGACGGAGCCGUCAGAACAACAACUUCUUCUUCCGGCACGGCAACGGGGUUGUCGUCGUCAGAAGCCGCCGCCGGUGUUGCUGCGGAGCCGGCGGCGGUGGUGGAGGUGCGGCACAGCCACGACGGGUCCAGCCUGGAGGUGGUGCUCAUCAGCAGCGUGCGGCGGCCGUUCAAGCUGCACCAGGUGGCCACCGUGCUGGAAGAGGAAGGCGCCGAGAUCAUCAGCGCCAACGUCUCCGUCGACGGCCGCAGAAUGUUCCACACCAUCCACUCCCGGGUACGUACGUGCCUCACAACACUGAUUCUCUAUGUAGGAUAGUGACAAAAGUUUGGGAUCCACGUAGUAUUCACUAUUCAGCUGUAAAGACACUACUGUUGUCUCUCUAUUUAGGCCACACACGUCUUCCCUAGCUUUCAAAGUCUUAUAUUCUUUUGUUCAAAAAAAAAAACUCUGAUAAACUCAUCGGUCGUGGUCAUUGUUUUCUCUAAACGCCAUUUACAAAUUAAACUAAACUGGUGUGUCCAUACAUCUGCAUGUUUUCACUCUCUGUCUUUGGUGAACAAAAAUCACCCAACAAAUACUAAAUUUAGUGUCUGCUAUACAACUUCUAACUUGCACGCAAUUCCAUUUCUUUCCCUUGGUAACUGCAGGCCUUUAGCUCAAGAAUAGGCAUAGAUGUUUCAAGAGUUUCUGAAAGACUCAGAGCAUUGGUAUGAUGUUACAUUUCCCAAAAGUAUAUGACCUAUAGUAGUAGUUACUAAAAGGGCCGUCAGUAUCUCUAUUUGUUAUCUAAAAGUUUUCCAUGUCCAGUCUCCAGAAUGUAUUUCCGUAAUACACUUAACUGGUGUCAAUAAUAUUGAUACUCUGUUCUAUAAACUUGGGCAAACUUUCGAUAGUUUGACUAGAUCAGAUAGAACUAGAAUUGCAUUCUUUUCCGGACGGGGAAGUAUAUAUAACUGGUAGAAAGAUUGACACGACAAUAAUUGCCGUUUAAUCAUAGGUAACAACAAUACUUCUUAUUAAAAGCUUACAUGGAACCAGCUUAUUUAUCACAAUGGAAGUGUCAAGUUUACAUAGUUGUUUUGAACAUCCCAACAGAGGUAAUUACACGUAAAUUAACAACUUAGCUUCCACGGUAAGUGGUGAAUGAGAAAGGGGAAUGCAAGAGAGGAACAUGAAAAUGCUCUGCCGUCUGGUUCUCCUUGAUCUCAAAUAUGAUGCUGACAUAAGGGAAGAACCCUGCAGGCGAAUACUUGCUAGUGUUGAAGCUUAUGCGGUAGAAGCCUGGAGCAAUGUUGUCCACGAUGUCCAUCAGCUGGCCACUGCGUCCAUCAUUGUUUGUAACUGAAUAGCCUAGAGUUGCCCAUCCGCUGAAAUCUUUGUUGCUGAAUGAUGGAGGAGCUGAAGAAUCCUUCCACAUCUCCAAGUGAACUUCAAUUCCAGAUGCAGGUGAUCCACGGGCAGUGUCCAGCACAUGGGUUGUAAUGGGAGGCCGACUUCGGUUGGAGCUACCUGUAAUUUCAGGAGCUUUAUUGGCACAAGGCUGAGGGAGAGCUCCAAGAUGUGCUCCAAUAAUCCGUAUGCGAUCUUUUUGAAAAUUUAGUUGGUGAGAAAGAAGAAUAACCCAAAUUGUAUACGUAUAGCAAAUAAUUAUAGUAUGCUAGUAAAGCACAUGAAUCAAUGAGAAUGAGAAUGAAAAGUAUAUAAUGAUGAUGGAGACAGAUCAAUUGUUAAAUAGAUGAAACUCAAUGUCCUCUACAACAAAUGCCCAUUCAACAACACAAUUCGUUAGUUUUUUCAUGGUCAUAGCUGUAAACUAUGUGGUUCUUGUUUCAAAAUAUUUCUUGCAAAAUGAUGCAAGUCUUAGUAGAUGCAUCAAUAUUUUUCUUCUGUUUGUAUUUAUUAAUACAAAAUUCAAUUAGAUUAUUUCAACUAGCAAAGAAGAUGACAAUAUCAAAAUCUUAACACUAACUCAAUGCAAAUAUUCAUUUUUAGCAUUACACAAUAUUGUGACUACUAGUCAAACUAGAUCACAAAGGUACAUGUCCUACUAUAAGAAGGCGAACAAACUCCAUAUCCAGCUGCUCACUCAACAGUAGCUAAGGUGAAUGAAAGAACAGAAAUUCCAGAUAUAAGUAAAAAUUGAACGGAAUCGAUGGCGUUCAUAGUAUGCUAUAUGGUGUGGGCAUUUGACUCUGUGAACAUUGCAUACAGAUAUAGGAUAGAUAUAACAAAACUCACAAACAUGUAAUAAAGUAAAAAAGGGAGACAUUUUUUGUAUAACAUACAAACAGAUAGAGUGAUUUGAUACCUGCCGCUUUAUCUGAUUGGGUGGCAGGGCCUUCAGUUGUAGUGGAGGGAACAGUAGGCUCUGAUGAGAAAAGCUUUGCAAGACGUAGUUCAGUUAUCUUAAGUUCUUCCUGUGCUGCAGCCUCAAGUUCAACAAUUGGCCUAUUCGUGUAACGCCUCUGAAAUAGGAGGAUAAUACUAAGGCACUAUAAGGAUACAAGGAAAUAUAGUGUUUCAAUCUUUAAGUUGAUGCAUGAGACAUGAAGUAUGCUAAAGCUUACAAAAUGUAGUAUAACAAGGAAGUAAAUAUAAAAAUAAGAAUUAUGUCCCAACAGUGGAUCAUAAACAUCAUCCGAAUUUAAUUUUGAUUAGGUUUGAGAUUGAUAGGAACUUUUAUUUUAACAAUGAAGCUACAGACAUGUGGAGGGAUGGCCUUAUCAUGUAUUAUCAUCAAUCCCUAAACAACAAUACAUGGGUGUUUUAACUUUGCCGAGAGUCCAAAUAGUACAACACCUCAUUACCCAAGUCAAAGGCAAGGACAAUAGCAAGGAUCCAAACAUAAUUCUGUAUGUUUUGAGUCCUUCUGGAAGUAGAACUACGUUGCAAAAAUAUCAAGUGCAGAAAACAGACACUGAAUCUGAAGAUGAACAUGACGUAUUCAUACCUUAAGCUCAGCCAAGACCUCAGGCGCAGUCCUCCUGGAUGCGCAAAUCAUGAACACGAAGCCAAACUUCUCCCUGUACCUGGCAUUCCACUCUGCCAGCUCCUGCAGCAGAUGGAGGGGAAAAAAACUAAAUUAAGUCCAGAGUUUAUCUAUGAUAGACGCAAGGAAAGCUGCGAGCUGAUGUAGCACCUGGGCUGUCGAAUCCGUGGCUGUUGAGAGCGCUGCCGAUUGCUCCUCCUUGCUCCACCUAAACCAGAAAGCAAACAGAGAUUACCAACACACGACUGGCGCCAUUUUGUUUGUCCUGUGUCAUGCUGAGUGAAACGACUCGCCAGUUCAAUUCACUGAUUUUAUCAACAAUUAAAUUAAAUUAAACUGGCCAUAACGCAGUGUCAGGUGAACAAACAGCAAGAUGAGGAUAACUGAUUAAGCAGAGGAAUUGAGUGGAAAGGAGGGUGGUGACUGGUGAGAGGGCAAAAACUCCACCGACUUGGAGACAGAUGAGGAGGUGGUUCCGAUCGCCGGGUGCGCCGCGAAGGCCUCGAGCCAUCCGCUGACAUCCACCUUGAUCCGAUUCGUAGCGCGCGCACGGUCAGCAAAGCACGCCGUCAGUACAGCAGGAAACGAAGGCCCGCGGAUGGACAGAAAUUUUAAGUAGAGAUAUAUACAGAUACAGGGAGGUAGGAGAGGCGACAGCGAGUAGGGCGACACACCUCGUCGAGCCAGAUGCGUCGAGCGGCGAGGAGGGCGUCGGCAAGGGACGCGAAGGGGGAGGCGGCCGCCAUCGCGGCGGCGAAGCGGCGGCUGCCGUUGACGCGCAGCACGUCCUCCGCGGAAAGAGGCAUCGGCGCGGCCAUCUCGCCGGCGGCCAAUUCGACUGCGCAGGGGGAGGGGGAGGGGGAGGGGGAGGCCGGAGGCGGAGUGCGGUGGGGGUUCUUCUGGUUAGGCGUCGUGAUCGAUCCAGUCAUCUAGUGAAGUAGCUUGGCUGUUUGUUCCUGCUCUGCAUUUCCUUUAUUUUAGGGAAUCUAAUCCUAUGUCAUCCCACGAACUGGAAACUUGCAAACGAUGUCACUGCGCACUGGAAAUUUGUUGUUUAAGGGAAGCUAAUGCGAUUUGAUCUCACGCACUGGAAAUUUUGGGUCGGAAGAAACAAACUGCCAUCCAAAGGCUACAGAGAAAUGAUACGAUCAUACAAACCAGACCAGUUAUCAAUCAAAAUUGUAGCUUCUAUGAUAACUAUACCGGUUUGUCAUCCAAAGGCUAAAGAGAAAUGAUAAGCUAACUACGACCUGUUUGAGACUCUGGCAUAGUAUCAUGCUAUGACAUGAUUCCCAUUAUUCCUAAUCUUGUAGCUUAUUGGGUCAAAAGCUAACUAGAAGUUAUAAGGAAAUGAUAUUAUUAUGGCAUGAUUCACAUGAUUCCUUACCAAUGAAAAUAUGUCAACCUGUUUGAGAAUGCCAGAAUUUUCAACUUGGCUAAAAAAACCACUAGGUCUAGGGCUCAAAAAAAAUUGCAACGAUGCACAAAUAUACACUCACUGUAACACAAUUCUUGACAUUAACGAACAAAUCAGCCACAGCAAUGAGGCGCAAGAUCCAGCAGCGCAGACAACACUACUAGUCAGUGCCUACAUCGCAUACACGUCACAGACUGUCAGCGCAUUACAUGACUAGACAAUUUAAGCAUUCGACACUAGUAAUAACACCAGCAAAGGUAGCAGCAACACAUAGUGCGGCAGUAGAGAAACUUAUGAUCCACAAAACAAACCCUACUCAUAUGUCCUUACAACGGCACCAGAUUAAAUUCAUUGCUACGACACAAGACUUCAUUUUUGUCACAAUGAUUUGAGGGGGGGAUUAGGCCCUCUCGCCACGGAUCCUCCUUGCCAGCUGAAUGUCCUUGGGCAUGAUGGUCACACGCUUAGCAUGGAUGGCGCACAGGUUGGUGUCCUCAAACAGCCCAACAAGGUAUGCCUCAGCAGCCUCCUGGAGGGCAAGCACGGCAUGGCUCUGGAAACGCAGAUCAGUCUGCAAAACAACAGGUUCCAUUAACAACAUGAAACGAGUACAUAACAGAACCUCUGGAAGUUGAAUUCAGAGAUAAAUACCUUGAAGUCCUGUGCAAUUUCCCUGACAAGCCUCUGGAAGGGCAGCUUCCUGAUCAGCAGCUCAGUGCUCUUCUGGUACUUCCGGAUCUCACUGAUAAAUUACAUUUGCAAAAACAAACAUAUCAAUAGUGCAGCACAAUAACAGAUUCAACAGAAAAAACCAAGGAUGUUCUACUGACCGGAGGGCAACAGUUCCAGGGCGGUAGCGGUGAGGCUUCUUCACUCCUCCAGUGGUGGGGGCCGACUUACGAGCAGCCUAUGAAGCAAUAUGUCAAAGGGACAAAUUCAGUCAUGGCUUGAAUCCAAUAUCAGGGCCAAAUCAAACAUCAAAGAAAGGAAAAUAAGGCACCACUAUCUAAAUAAUGUUACCUUGGUUGCAAGCUGCUUCCUGGGAGCCUUCCCUCCCGUGGACUUGCGAGCAGUCUGCUUGGUACGAGCCAUCUGCAUUAAUUAAGAAAGGAAAGCAUCACAACAUGUUCAGGGCCACAAAAACCUAACACAAAUGUGGCCAGUAAACUUCAGUUUUCAUAUCAGCACAUGCACAUAUUUCUUAAUUUCAGCAUGGUAUGAAGAUAAGGCUAUUAAUAAAGAUGAAUCAUAGAAACCAAUAACAUACUAAAGAGACCCAACAACAUAAGUGAUAAUUGCAACAAGAAUCUAGGAUUCUUGUGAUGCAGUCAAUUAACAUGUAUCAGUGUAUCACCAUGUGAACCAAAAUUCUUUAUCAAUCUGUUACAUUCAGAUUCAGACAAGUUGUUCAGAAGCAAGUUAAACAAUAUAGAUACAAUCGUUAAAGCACUGAAGCAGGAAGUUAAAUAUGGCCAUGAAAACACAACCAUAUGACAUUUGCUGCAGAUUACAAUAACAUCUUAUUUUAUAUUUGUCAGACUCAAUACCUAGCACUAUAAUUGGACCACCCUAUAACAGGGCUACAAAUUAGCAACUACAUGUCCUACAGUAAUGGCUCUUAACAAGAAUGCAGAAUUCAUAACAUACAUAAGUUUGCAUAGCAAAAGCCUUAAUUAGUACUGAAAUCAGAUGCCAUAUUAGCAGACACAACUUCGCAGAUAAUAUCAUGAGUGACUUGAUGAAAUCAAAUAGGAAGCAUCAGCAGCCUAACAGCGACAAGUACAUGACAGGAACAAUAACAAAAUCCACUAAAUUCACCAGAGAACAGAAAAUCAAAUGUAAUAUUACAAAAUAAACUCUGAUGUGGACAAUCGAGUACAAUCACAGUUAACUUUCAUAACGUCCAUGUGUUGAAUUUCCAGUAUAUGACAAUAUACAUCUCAGAGAGGGAGGGAACUAUGUGAACAAGCACUAAAUCCCUAAACUCACCUAGAAUCAGUUUAAUAAAUGCAAUUCUGCAAGAGCCAGGGAGGGAAAUAUGUGAACAAGCACUAAAUCCCUAAACUCACCUAGAAUCAGUUUAUUAGAUGCAAUUCUGCAAGACACAUAACAACUCAAGCUAUCAUAGAUGGCAACCUGUGUAUGACAACUAAAUGGAAGAACAAUAGAGUCCACUAAAUUCGCCAGCGAAUACAAAUCAGAAGUUCUAUUCCACAACAAACUCACGUACAAACUACUGAGUACUAUCCCAUAUGUUAACCCUCAAUAACACUAAAUUCGAGAGGGCGAUGGAACAAUGAGAACAAGCGCUCCUAAAUUCACCUAUAGUUCCGAGCAGGACCACGAUUCCGCACGAGAUCGGAACAGCUCCACCUAAACCACCCGCCACAAUCACUAUAGUGCCCAACCAUUAGACAUCUAGACCCAAGCCGAGUCGAAACUACGCCUACCAGCACGCGACAAGCAGUAUCCGCUAACAUCAAAGUAGACCGCUCGAGUCAACCCUAACACCCCAUAGCCGCCGUCACCCGGCCGCUGUCGCUGCAGGGCAACCCGCCGAAGCCCUAACCCGUCGAUCCCCAAACCGAACGUCCCUAUCUAAUCAAAAACAAAACAAGCAAAAUCCGCACGACCGCGAGAAACGCGGUAACGGCGCCUUCUCGAAUCAGGGAAACCGCCGAAGAUGGGAAAGAGGGGGAAGGGCUCGAGGCAUACCUGUCCCGCCGCUGCUUCGCUCGCUCCGCACGCUUCAAAUCGGUGGGGGAGUGUCGCCGCGCGAGGAAGAGGAGGCCGGAAGAAAAUGAGAUAGCCAGGCCGCGGGGUCUUAUUUAUAGAGCGGCAUCCGUCUGGUAUAUUCCGGCUCGCGCUGGGUGGACGGUCCGGAUCGGUUGUGAGUGUGUUUCUUCCCGUCUGAUCGGACGGCCAGGACCGCUCCCGGGCUCGUGGCGAGGAUCGCCAGCGUGGAACGGUGCGCUCUGAUUGGUGGUGGCCUGCGCUCGCGGAUCCCGGAUUCGGAGGGCUCGGUGCCGUGACGUGAAGAGUUGUGUGGUGUCGGGGAGAGCUGGAGGACGGGAGGUUGCCGCGUCGCUGUAGGCCAGUAGCAGCCGUUGGAUUUGGUGGGACCCGGAGAGGAUGGGUGACCAGUGUAUUUCGUCAUGUGCUACUUUCCGAGCAUGCGUUUGCAGCUGCAGACGCAUAGGAUAGGACAGGACAGGACACGCCGACAGGGUAUCCAAUUACUGCUCCUCUGUCAUCGGUUACUAGCUUCAAAAACCAAAAGAAAUUUUAAAUUUCUCGUCGCAUCGAAUCUUUCGGUACAUAUAUAUAGUAUUAAAUAUAAAUAAAAAUAAAAACUAAUUAUACAUUAGAUAAAUCUUUUAAGCCUAGUUACUCUAUGAUUAGACAAUAUUUAUCAAAUAAAAACAAAAGUGUUAUAGUGACAAAAUCCAAAAACCUUUUGGAUCUAAACAAGACCAUAAUUAUGAGGUCUUCUUUUUUAUAUUCAAAAUUUAAACCUUUUAAGAUUUCUGGUACAUCAAAUCUUACGUUAUACUUGUGAACCUAGUUAAUUUAUUGUUGAACAAUAACUAUCAUAUACUAACGAAAAUAUUAUAGUACUAAAAAAAUUAUCAAGAGAACUAAAUAAGGCCUGAGUUACCUAUCGAAUAAAGUUAGGCAUUUCUAUUAAAAACUAAAAACUUUUCAAGAUUCUCUGUCCCAUCGAAUCUUACGUCACAUGUAUAAAGUAUUAAAUAUAGAUGAAAACAAAAACUAAUUUCACAGUAUACCUAUAAAUCGCGAGACAAAUCUUUUAAGCCUAGUUAUUCCAUAAUUAGACGAUGUUUAUCAAAUAAAAACGAAUGUACUACAGUAGCGAAAUUCAAAAAAAAAUCGCAACUAAACAAAGCCUUACUUAUUAAGUUUUAUUAGUGAAUAAUAUUCAUAUUUAUGAUGACUCUAAUUAAUUCAUUAUAAAAAAUAUAUUUUAUAUUCGAUAUAAUGAUUGUAUCUAUAAUUGGUCAAAUAUGAUACACUAAAAUAUGGUACUAUGCUAGAAUUGUAUGUUUUCGUGAAUAGAGGAAGUGGUUGGAGAUUUGCUUUUACGAAAUACUAGUAACAGAAAAGGCGACGCUACAUCGGUUAUUUUUGUUUUCGCCUCCUUUCAAUAGGUCUCACAAGAUUCACAUCUCUUUUAGCUCUUUUUUUACUAAGGCUCUCUUUUUAUGCUAUUUAGAGUUCUCUCAAUGGUGUCUUAAAAAAUAAUUCAAAAAAAAAUCUAAUUUUGCAAUCUUUCAAUCAAUAAUGAAAAUGAUAAAAUAACCUGUCACCAACAAUUUUCAAUAAUUUGUGUCUAGAAAAUAGCAAAAAAAUAGACUCACUUAAAAGUUUCUUCUCAUCUCGUGUGAUACACAGAUGACGCCGUCAACUGCCCCACAGCUGGUUCAUUACCUGCGCUACCUCUCACUAUUCUCGGAUCUAAAAAAUUAUGGCGAGUGGAGAGAAACCACAACCGUCAUUCAUAGCACCCUAGCUCACACAUAAAGUCUACAAAAUUGAAUCACAUUUGAUUGUUCACUGGUCUGAAAAGUCAUGACUAAAAUUACUGUUUAUUGUAAGAGAAAACACUGCUGGCUGACAGAAAAAUACGACUGAAAAGAAAAGAGAACAGGCUAGCCACGCAGAGGGAGCAGUGAAUGCCUUUGUUUUUCCAAGCACAUAUAGAUUAGGAGUGAAGCUAGGGAGCUAUUGGAGUGCUUCAUCUUGCCAAAAAAAAUCAAGAUUGGUAGUGGUUUUAACAAACGUUUGGAAAUUCUCUUGUGUGCAGGAUCUAUUGCUUGAUAGGAGUUUGGUUCGAGAUUAGCAACUUUAGGUACAAUGACCGCUGAAAACGCAUGGACAAGGCGCACAAUGCCUAUAGCCCAAUUCCGCAAAGGGGUCAAAGAGAGAGGAGGAAGAAUAUAAUAGAUAGCCAUUGUAUCAACAUCUAUGAAAAAUCUAAGUGAGAGAUUUAAGGUUUGUUUAAGAUGCAGUAUUUGGUCUUUUAGCUCAAAAGCUGACUUUCUGUAUUUUGGCUUUUUAGUUGUUGGUUUUUUGCUAUUGAUCUUUGUUAUAAAAACUCCUCUCAACUUCCGACUUGUACAAGCCAGAAAAAAAAAUUAAAAUAGGCAGGCCCUUAUGCUCCUGUAAUAUGGAAGCCAAGAGCCCACAAGGGUAUCCACAAACAAUUUAAGUAAAUCAUUUUUUUAACUAGUAGCAGGAUAUUGAUUAAAGGUAACCUUGAAAUCUUGUGUGUGUGUGUGUUGGGAGGUUGGGGUUGAGGAAGGGGAGAAGGUAUGUCUUGCAUUUUUUUGCGAUGAACAAGAGUGUUAAACAUAUAUUUACUUAAAUUGUUUGUGGCAAAGUUCAUUUGGCAAAAGAUAAUAGGAAAAGUCUAUUUUUAGCCCUUGAAUUAUUGUUGAAGUAUCACUUUAGGUGUCGAACUAUAAAACCAAACUUUGAAGGCACUUUUAAAAUUAUUGUUGUUGAUCAUUUGACAGGGGUUCCUUAAACAAUACGGGUGAAAAAUACUUAAAUGUACUCGCUCUGCUCCGUCCUUAAACAAGUGUACUUUUAAAUUUUAAAAUUUGUCUCAAAAUAAGUGCAAUAAACUAUAGUCUUUUCUAGCUCUCUUUUAGCAAGGUGCAACUAUUACAUGUUGAACUUUAUUUAUAAAAGAUAUUCUCAAUGACAACUUGCAAAUAACUAGCUAAAUAAAGCUUAGUAACAAUAUAAAAAAAAUACUGUUUAAACUGUUGUGAAACGAUGUCUCCUCUGAAGAGACACCUCUUCAUCAUCUAAUCGGUGAUCUCAUCUGGUGAUAGGAUUAGCAGUUAGCCUAGCAGUUAGCAUGCCAUCCGAAGGGGCAUGUCCUUUGGCCAAGAGCAGUUGCUCUUCCUGUACUCAAACACCAAGGAGUCACGUCCGUACGACGUGAUCUCUCACUUGUAUAUAAUCUAACAAGAUCAAUGAAAGCAGCAGUUGUUCACUGUUCAUUUACAUUCACUCUUAACACGUUAUCAGACACGUUGCUCUACGAGAACAGACAGAGGAACAGAAAGACGACGCCCAACAGAGGCAUUUACAUGUCUCUGAACCCCCAUCGGUAAGCAUGGCCAAGAUUAACUUACCGUCUCACAUCAUUCGUGGUCUGUUCUUCGCCCUCCGUCGCAUCAGUGGAGUACGUCGUGGCCCGAUCCGUCACCACGGCCACCAUGCACAGCGUCACAGCGUCUUCGAGCGCCUUGGGCCUCGUGUUCGUCGCAACGCUGGCAAUGGAGGCCAUGGUUCUUUCGGCCGCCUCUUCGACUCCGCUGCUCGUGGCAUCCGUGCAGAUGCUGUUCCUCGCCGUCGCUGGAGCCCAAUUCGCCGUGUCCGCCAGGCUUCUCCGCAAGAACUUCGUCUGCAGAGCCAGCCACCGUCCCCUCGCCUCGGCGUGGAUGGCGCUGGCCCAAGCAACGCGGCGCCACCAGCAGUUGAAGGUCCGGCGCCACCAGUCGUUGAGGCCCCGGCGCCGCUCGUCGAAGAAGUUGGUGCUGAGCCCGUCGCCGCGCCCGCGUACAUCCCCAUGGAGCCAAUGUCGCCGGCACCAGCGCCACCGCGCUACUGGUGCGACUUCUGCAAGGAGUUCGCCUUGAUGCCGCACACACUGGAGUACAACUACUCGCUGCCGUCGCCCACACCGGUCACUCCGACGACUCCAGUGGCGACCCCGCUCCAUCCGUGGUACCUCGCCACGCAGGCUGCCCCUGCGCUCGACGCUGUGAAGGUCGAAGAAGAGGAAGUGGUGACCGGCCCCGGCAUCGGCUACCUCAUCAACCCAGGAGGCACGCGUGCGGCAAGGACCGGCGUCCCACCAUACUACGUCAUGGACUUCGCCGGGCCCUCCGCACCUCCUCUCGCAGCAGCACCGGCCACUCCGCAUGCGACGCGUGCGGAAGCCGCUGCCCGCAUGAAAGCGCAGGCACUCCCAGACCCUCCUCCGGCGGAGACGCUGCCGACUCCGACACUCCGGCGCCUCCUAGGCCGCAAGACGGCGGCAAUGGACCAGCGUCCCGGUGUUCGUCGCACAGGUGCCUGGAACCCAGCGGAUCUUGGCCUCCCGAGCGCGGAGGUCCUGAACAUGGCGGUCGGCGGUGCUGGCUUCUACUCUCCCGACGAGGGGGAGUCCUCUUCGAUCUGAAGGCAAGCAGCGGCGGCGGCGUGGUGGAAAAGAGACCUGGAGCAGUGGCGGCUGUAAGCAGUUAGGGAUUUUACCCUGCUGACGAGCGGCCUAAAUUGCCCUUUGCACGCUUUGGGCUGAUGGCCUAAAUCCACCUGCUCCUUGGUCCCACUCUACUGCACGCACGAACAUGUUUCCAAGGGCCCGAAUGUGAUGAAACCAGUCCCAAUUGGUCCAGCCGAUUAGUUAUUUUACUUAUUUAUUUUCAGCAUUAAUUCGUAUAAGACUCUGUUAGUCUCCUAUAAAUUAUGUGCUGUAAAAUAUAAGUACUAAUUAUGCUUAGUCGUUGACAUUUAUAAUUGUACUUGUGAUACUUUAUAUUGUUAUAAAAUAUCUGUUUGUGAUAUUAUUCAAAAUGUUUGUUCCGGUAUGAAUGACAAAUCCAAUAAAUAAUAUUCUUGUUAUUGUGACCAUGAUCUUGCAAUUAUUUAUUUAUUUCGCAAUCGAUCAUUUUUUUUAUUUAAGUUCCUUUACGCUUUUAACUUUAAAGCACUACGCGCUUAAAUAAUGGAUGCGACAAUUUAUGUGUAAUUUUCUUAACAGUUAUAUAACACGCAUGUUUUAGAGUCGUUUUGUUGGCCACUCCACAAGGUAGCACCAUAGUUGCUACUGCGGGAUCUACACUAAGCAAUAUUUAGUGACUAUCCUCAACGUGCGUACCCAACAUUACCACUUAGAACAUUUGGUCUACAUCUUUUUCCAAAGAUGACUACCAUUAAUUUGCAUCCCUAUUGGCCAUACACAAGGUAGCAACAUUGUUGCUACUGUGGGAUCUACACUAAGUAUACUACUUAGUGACUAUCCUCCACGUGCGUACCCAAUUCGUUUGCAAAUUAAAUUAAGGUCUACAUCAAUUCUUGAUGACUACCUUCAGACGCGUUAUACAAUUUGCAUAAUUAAUUGGCAUCUAUUAUUUACACAUAAUAUGCCCAAUUAGAGGUCUACACCCUUUUCUUUUUUGGUGACUACCUCCAUUAUUUUAUUAUGCAUAUAAGAAUUUUACACCAUUACCGAUACAAGAUUUAUCUUGUUUUUAAUUUGCAUCCCAUAAUUACAACACACCUCAACAUUUUAAUAACUUAAAAUGUUUCGAUGGUUUUUAUAUCAUGUAGGAUCAAUGACUGUCAAAGAGUUUGAAUUACUAGCUCUAGACGGCCACAAUUAUCCCACAUGGGCUAUAGACGUAAAAGUUAGUCUUUCGUCCCGUGGACUUUAUCGAGCUGUGUUACCACCCGAAGAUGGGGUUGCACCGCUUGAAGAUCAACACGUUUAUACAGCCCUAUACCUUAUUAGGAGCCACAUUCACCCUGAUCUUAAGGCUGAAUAUUUGUUGGAAGAAAAUCCACACAAUCUAUGGACUUCACUUAAGCAACGCUAUGAACAGCAAAAGGCACUUGUCUUGCCCGCGGCCAACUAUGAGUGGACGCAACUUCGCUUACAGGAUUUCAAAACUGUGAGUGACUACAAUCAUGCUGUCCAUAGGAUUUGCUCAAAGUUGCAAUUCUGCGAGAAAGAACCUACAGAUGCGGAUAAGAUAGAAAAGACUUUGUCUACUAUGCUUCCCUCUGAAAGGAUUCUUCAACAACAAUACCGUGAAAGACGUUUCCAAGUUUAUUCAGAGCUUAUCCAAACUUUACUUGAGGCCGAAAAACAUUCUGAACUUAUGGUUUGGAAUAAUCAACAGCGCCCUGUUGGGUCUGCUCCAUUGCCUGAAGUACAUGCAUAUACUCAGAAUAAACCCAUGUCUAAUGAUAGAUCUGAAAAGAACUAUCAACAAGGAAACUCCAAGAAGGGUAAAAACAAGCGCAGACGCAAUAAGAAGCCCCAAAAAGGUGACUCCAACAAAGGUAAACCUUACAAAAAGGGUAAGAACAUUUCCAAGAACAGGGAUGAUAAACCUGUGUGUCAAAAAUGUGGUUGUUAUAACCAUACUACAAAGAAAUGUCGUACCCCAAGUCAUCUAGUUGAUCUUUACUUAAAGUCUGUGGGUCGUGGACGAGCUACACCAGGACAGAAGUAUGAAGCCCAUUUCAAUCUUCGACCUGACACCACCAGGGAAGAGGCUGGUUGUUCGCAACAAGUUCCUGAGGAACCAAGCAACAACAUCAUACGAGGAGGCGAGGAUCUUGCUGAUACAGGGAAUAUGAUCGUGGAAUAUGCAUCCAACGAUAUAUUUGGAGACUUUCACUAGGCUCCCAAUCCCUUAGAUUCUAAUGUCUUUAUGUUCUAGUGAUUGUAAUAAUAAACACAAUUUAUGUCCUAUGUGUUGUAAAUAUUUAAUGAUAUCAUCACUACUUAGUUUGGAUAUCCAAUAAAUGUAUUGUACACAUUUGAUAUUCAAUAAAUAAAGUAUGUAUUCUAUAUAUUAUCAGAGAGUUUUAUAUCAAAUUCUUUAUUUAUAUAUAGUUUCUACGGGGGUCGAUCUGAUGGAAGAGGAAUUAUGCCUAGUGGACAGCGGUACCACUAAUUCUAUUCUUAGGGAAACAAAAUAUUUCCAAACUCUUACUAAAAGACAAGGAAAUAUUUUGACAAUCGCUGGGCGCGAUGCUACGAUAAUUGGUUCAGGUCGUGCCAUUAUCGUACUCCCUAUGGGUACCCAAAUUACAAUUGAGGAUGCAUUAUUAUAUCCCGAUUCAAAGCGUACCUUAUUAAGUUAUAGAGAUAUCCGUCAAAAUGGUUUCCAUAUAGAAACCCUUGAUGACAAUAAUGAGGAAAUUCUCCUUGUUACUAAAAACAAUGGAUAUGGCAAACAAAUUGUUGAGAAAAUUCCCUCUUUCCCAUCCGGAUUGUACUACACAUACAUCAAACCCGUAUCACAUGUUGCGUACAAGGUAAUUUUCCAGAAUGUUGAUGCAUUCAAAACUUGGCAUGAUCGCCUUGGUCAUCCUGGUAUAGGGAUGAUGCGGAAAAUUAUCAGCAAUUCAAAUGGUCAUGAGUUAAAUACUGCUAAAUUUCCGAAAUAUUCAGAUUUUAUGUGCACUUCAUGCGCUACAGGAAAAUUGAUCUUGCGUCCAUCGCCCGUCAAGAUCCAAAAUGAGCCACUAAAAUUUCUUGAACGCAUUCAAGGAGAUAUUUGUGGCCCUAUACAACCAACAUCUGGACCGUUCAGGUAUUUCAUGGUUCUAAUAGACGCAUCUACUAGAUGGUCUCAUGUGUGUCUUUUGUCCACACGUAAUCAUGCUUUCGCAAAAAUUAUUGCUCAAGUUAUUAAACUUAGAGCACAUAAUCCUGAACAUCAAAUUCAAUCAAUUCGAAUGGACAAUGCUGCUGAAUUUUCCUCAAAGGCUUUCAAUGAUUAUUGUAUGGCCUUAGGAAUUCAAGUUCAACACUCGGUCCCAUAUGUCCAUACACAAAAUGGUUUAGCAGAAUCUCUUAUUAAAAGAAUUAAACUCAUUGCAAGACCACUACUACAAAAUUGCAAUCUACCAACUUCAUGUUGGGGUCAUGCAGUCUUACACGCUGCUGACUUAAUUCAAUUGCGUCCAACUGCAUACCAUGUUGUCUCCCCAUUGCAAUUAGUACGUGGGAAUAUGCCAAAUAUUUCCCAUCUGCGAAAAUUUGGUUGCGCUGUAUACGUACCGAUCUCACUACCUAAGCGUACCUCUAUGGGUCCACAUAGGAAACUUGGUAUCUAUGUGGGAUAUCAAUCCCCAUCGAUUAUCAAAUACCUCGAGCCUCUUACAGGGGACUUAUUCACGGCCCGGUAUGCUGACUGCAUAUUCAAUGAGGACCAUUUCCCAGCAUUAGGGGGAGAUUUCAAGUACCAAAGUGAAUGCCAGGAAAUCAACUGGAAUGCCCAAGGCAAUUCCCCCUCAGAUCCACGUACUCAAGAAACUGAACAACAAGUUCAGAAAAUCAUAAAUUUGCAACAUAUUGCAAAUAACCUGCCAGAAGCAUUUACUGAUUAUAAGGGUGUCACUAAAUCCUCUUAUCCUGCUCGCAAUGCGCCCGAAAGAGUGGAGGUACCAAUAAAAACCAUUCAACUCCCACUUCCAAAGAAGAGGGGGAGAAGUACGGCCGCUCCUAAGGAUAAUGCUCCAAGUAAGCGUCUGAGGAAAUCAAGAGCUAAAUCCUCCAAAUCAGUAAAUCCAAGCCAACCUCAAGUUGGUAGACACCUAAUAGUGGAUAAAAAUCUAACACCAGGACCAAAUCCACAACCCGGAUCAACGGUGCAUCCAAAUUCUGAUCCUGGGACAUCGGAACACCCUGACUCCAUAGUUUUGGGAAAUGUUGAGUCAAAUAAUGGGGUGAAAGAAAUUUCCAUCAAUUAUAUUGAUUCUGGAGAAUCAUACGAUCGUAAGACUACUGUUGUAGACAUGUAUUUCUCCGCAGCAAUUGCAGAAAUCUUUCUCAAUGAUCCAGAUCCUAAGACCAUGGCAGAGUGCAAAAAGCGCUCAGACUGGGCUCAAUGGAAAGAAGCAAUUCAAGCUGAGAUAGCCUCGCUCACUAAAAGAGGGGUAUUCACAAAAGCUAUGCCCACACCCUCCAAAGUCUUUCCUAUAGGCUUUAAAUGGGUUUUCGUCCGGAAACGGAAUGAGAACAAUGAGGUGGUGAGAUAUAAAGCAAGGCUCGUAGCACAAGGGUUCACGCAGAGACCCGGCAUUGAUUAUAAUGAAACUUAUUCUCCAGUAAUGAGUGGAAUUACUUUCCGAUACUUAAUAUCAUUGGCAGUUCAAAAUCAUCUAUCUAUGCAGUUGAUGGAUGUGGUGACAGCAUAUUUAUAUGGGUCACUUGAUUCGGACAUAUAUAUGAAGGUUCCCGAUGGAAUCCAAAUUCCGAAUCCAAACGCAAAUCGUAACAUGUAUUGUGUAAAACUACAAAAGUCAUUAUAUGGCUUGAAGCAGUCGGGACGAAUGUGGUACAACCGACUGAGUGAAUUCCUUUUAAACAAAGGAUACACCAAUAAUGAUGAUUGCCCAUGUGUUUUCAUUAAGAAAUCUCAAACGGGAUUUUGUAUUAUAUCUGUAUAUGUUGAUGAUUUAAAUAUCAUUGGCAGUCCAAAGGAUAUAGAAGAAGCACGCAAACAUCUAAAGACGGAAUUCGAGAUGAAGGAUUUGGGAAAGACCAAAUAUUGCCUAGGCUUACAAAUUGAGCACCGUCCUUUAGGGAUUUUAGUGCAUCAAUCAGCCUAUAUCCAGAAAAUAUUGGAGAAAUUCAAUAUGGAUAAAUCAUACCCUAAUAAAACCCCGAUGGUUGUUCGUUCCUUAGAAUUAGGGAAAGAUCCAUUUAGACCACGGGAUGUUGGGGAGAAGACGUUGGGACCAGAAAUCCCAUAUCUCAGUGUUAUUGGCGCACUUAUGUAUCUUGCAAAUUGCACCAGGCCUGAUAUCGCAUUUGCAGUGAACUUACUAGCUAGGCAUAGUGCGGACCCGACUCACCGUCAUUGGACGGGAGCAAAGUGUAUCCUCAGAUACCUUAAUGGCACAAAGGAUCUUGGUUUAUUCUUCAAGAAAAAUCAUGAUUCCAGUAUGAUUGGCUAUACAGAUGCUGGUUACUUAUCUGAUCCUCAUAACGGAAAAUCCCAAACAGGAUUUGUAUUCCUCAUAACGGAAAAUCCCAAACAGGAUUUGUAUUCCUACAUGGAGGUACAGCUAUUUCAUGGAAGUCUUCUAAGCAGACUCUAACAGCCACCUCUACUAAUCAUUCUGAAAUUAUUGCUUUAUACGAGGCAUCACGAGAAUGUGUGUGGCUUCGCAGAAUGAUUAACCACAUACAACAGACAUGUGGUAUUGGUUCAAUUGAAUCACCAACAAUUAUCUAUGAAGAUAAUUCCGCUUGUGUUACACAGAUGCAAACAGGUUACAUAAAGAGCAAUAUCACUAAGCAUAUUGUUCCUAAAUUGUUUUAUCCCCAUGAAUUACAAGAAAGUGGGGAAAUAAACAUCUUGCAAAUCAAGUCAUGUGAUAAUCUCGCUGACCUAUUUACUAAGUCCUUACCAACUUCUGUGUUUCAAAAAUUGGUACAUGGAAUUGGUAUGAGGCGACUUCGAGAUUUACCAGAAUCAGGGGGAGACAUCUCCUAGAUGCCACCUAUACCAGCAUCAUAUUAUACUCUUUUCUUUCACAAGUUUUACUCAAAAGGUUUCUUGUUAAAGUUUUUAAUGAGGUAAUAUUAACAUAAGCAUGUGUCAUAUUUUCUAUUUUCCCCACCGGGGUUUUUGUGGGAAAUAUCAAAGACACAUAUUGCCCUCCCAACUCAUCCAUGGUUUUUCCUUGAAAAAGGUUUUUCAUGAGAGUUAUUUCAAGAGGCAAUACUUAUAGUAUGUCGUCAUAUUUUUCUCCUGAUUUUCCCACUGGGUUUUUAUAGGAGUUUUAGCGACAUAUCUCUUAAUAUGGCUCCUCACAUUUUUCCUAAACGGUUUUUUAGAGGAGUUAUCUUUAUGUCGUAUCUCCAAUAUUUUUCCCCACUAGGGUUUUUAAUUGGAAUACCAAUGACAUAGUGGUUUGUUUAAAUCACACAAAUAUAUGCUACCUUCUCCUUGUUUUCCUAUAAAGGUUUAAAGGAGUUUUACAGCAUAUCCAUACAUACAUAUUCCUCAGAUUUUUCCCACAGGGUUUUUCGAGGAAUCCAAGAUUACAGCUACAUUGAUCUUAAGAAUGAUUCGAUCAAGGGGGAGUGUUGUGAAACGAUGUCUCCUCUGAAGAGACACCUCUUCAUCAUCUAAUCGGUGAUCUCAUCUGGUGAUAGGAUUAGCAGUUAGCCUAGCAGUUAGCAUGCCAUCCGAAGGGGCAUGUCCUUUGGCCAAGAGCAGUUGCUCUUCCUGUACUCAAACACCAAGGAGUCACGUCCGUACGACGUGAUCUCUCACUUGUAUAUAAUCUAACAAGAUCAAUGAAAGCAGCAGUUGUUCACUGUUCAUUUACAUUCACUCUUAACAUAAACGUUGCUAAUUUUUCAUAGCCAACAAAAUUCUUCCUAAUUCUUCUUAAAUUAGCUAUUUAGAAACCAUUUGAGACACCAUGAUAUAUGUAAUUUUCCUUGUAGCAUUCGUAUCCCCAAGAAAACUAGAAGUGCAUUUAUUUUAGAACAGAGUGAACAGUCGGCUAUCUUUAGAACACACAAUGCAAACUUUAUCAUAGAGUCUAAAGUUAUUUAUUACCUCGAACAAUGUAGACCUAGAGUCUAAAUAAGAUUUGAAAGUCUUAUUUUUUUUCUACCUCUUUUUUCAAUAAAUAUGCUACCACAUCAACAAAAUACCAUAAAUAAUAUAUAAUUAAUUGUCUUAGACUCUAUGAUAAAGUUUGGCAUUGUGAGUGCCCUUAUAUUCCUUAAAUAACUAACCCAAGCAAGCUACAAUGACAGUAGAUAUAAAGGCUUAUAAUAAACAAACCCAAACCUUGCAACUUCCGAAAAUUGGUAAACACUGGAUGCAGCAGCAACGUUCCUUCGCAGCGGUGCAAAACUCUAGACUACUUUAUUAUGCAUGUGAGCAUGUCUAUCGCCACGGAGGCGCUAACUACUUUGAAAAAGAUUAUCUCAGUGCAUCAAAUUUGCAUCGUAAGCCCACUCAAACUGCAUUACAGUGCAAAGAUGGGGAAUCAUGAAUCAUAUUUUUAACUGUAUAAGGAAAAUUGUAACUGUGACGCUAGUUUCUCAGCAGCACAGAACAUGACCGUUAGGAAGAGCAACACGGCAUUCUUCAAGUCAAAAAGAAUCUCUUAUUUUGUAGAGAGCUCCAAAAAGGAUGAUUUAUCUGUCCCUGAUAACUUGGCGCCAGUUACCAAGGAAGCAAGAGAAGCCGGCACAACAUCGUGAGUUCAUAGUUCUUUUGCAUUGUAGCAUUACAGAGGUCCAGGGAAGGUGCCAUUUUCACGUUGCUCAUUCCAGCGAUCAACCUGCAUAUUGAACACAAUUCAGUGAGCUUAAGAUUCCAAGACAGUAACAGGACAAGCUGCGGGACUGAGCAUUGUUUGGAAACAGGUCAGUUAUUAGUGUUCUGGGUGCAAUCAGACAAUAGAGUUACACGAAACUCUUGUUCAGUUAUGCAUAAUUGAUGUGUGCAAGGUCAGCUAUUUACAAAAUAUGUUUAGACCAUUAGAUGUUUAAUAUGCAUAUGGGCAAAAGACAGCAUAUGGAAUGGAACAUUGUCCUGUGAAUCUGUUGUUCACUAUGCUAAUGCUGUAGUACUGUGAACUAUCAAUUCGCAUCAAUAAAGCCAAUAAGAUAUUGGACUGAAGCUCCACGUUGACUAACCCAUAUUAUUCACAACUUGAACAAAUUCAAAUGCUAAUACUGCCUAGCAUCCUUAAAAUUACUUUAUAUACAAAUAUGAAGCUAUUGAAUAGGAAGUCCAGAAAGAACAACCAUAUCGGUUUUCAUUCGCUAGGCAAACAUAUUAAAUACAAAGAAUGCAACUAUGGGUUGCAUGAAGUUUAACUCUGACCGAGUUUAUAAUGAAUAGUAUUAACAUUUAUGUCUUUUUUGCCAACUAGGUUACUACAAAAAUAUACUUCGUAAUCAAUUUAAUGAUACUUGUUUUGUAUAAAUGUUAGUAUAUUUUUAUAUAAUUUUGCUCAAACUUUAAAUCGUAAGACUUCUUGAAAAAACGAAAAUUGCAUUCUUGUGGAUGGAGCACUUGAAUCUCGGUUAAGCAGUUCUGUUCAGAUGGUUAACCUUUCACUGAAAAAAUUCAAUAUAUCAUGAACCAAGACUAUUUUUUACAUCACUGUACUCAUGGUUAUUAAAGAGAAAAUUAAUAUCCAAAGCACUACAGUAUCAGGUUUAUUAUGAACUCAUAAGAUUAUGCCCGAUCUCUAUAUAACCUUUGCCUAGCCUUGAUAAUGGAAAAAUGGAAACCUUGCUAGUAAAGGCGAAUCAAUUUGGCUCAGUCCUGAAGCUAAGAAAUCCAUGCCCACCUGACCCACCAAAGCCCACGUAGGCAAAAAAAAAAAAAAACAAACAAAAACAAAAUUAUACUCCUCCAUGACUUCACUAAGCAAGGACAAGGUGAAGCAGCAUAUCCAACCAUUUAGAAGUCUAUAAAAUCCAAGCAUGUCCUAAAGUUCACGUAUUUUAUCUAGGUAAAACACAGUAAUAGUAUUAGACAGCUAAACAUUGUGUGCUACUGUAAAGUGAAUGCUUAUCAACUCGAAAUGUGUAAUCCACAUGCCUCAGAAAGUAUUUUUUUCUAAUCUCAACACCACAACAAGCAACAAGGGCAGAAUGUAAACCAUAGUGGUGAAAGCAAUAAAUACAUACCCAUUCACCUGGGCACAGGGAUCGAUAGUACUUGGCAAACUUAUCACACUCAGGUGCAUCCUCACCUUUUGCAGCAACACACCUGAUUAAAUAACCAGUGUUAUUGAGAAGACUAAUCAUGGCGAUCCUUAUUUAUAUUGACUUUAUUAAAAUCACAAUGACAAACCCUACCUGUGGUAUUCAACAUAGCGUGUGAAACAGUGCCUCGUUUGAUUUGUUGUUGGGAAACGAAAAUCUGCUGGAGCUGUUUCAAUCUGUAUAUUGAAAUUUCAAAGCAUUUAGCAUCCAUCAACAUGAAACUACAGAGUGUAUCACCAUCAGGUUUUUUUUUACAGCAACAAACCUUGAUCUCAGGUUUCUCAGCCUCUUCCUCCUCAGUGGUCUCACUUGCUUCCUCUGCAGCAGGUGUUUCCUCUGCAGCAGUGUUAGUUUCUUCUGCUUCUGACUUUUCAGCAGUAUCUUGUACUUCAGAAGUUUCAUUCUUGUCUUCUACAGAUGGAGGAGCUUCAUCAUUGGUUGAGGGAGCAGCUUCAGUCUCAGUACCACUAGAGGGCUUCUCCUCAGCUGCCUUUUCCACUGCAACUUCUUGUGGUGGAAGUGAAUAUUCCUACAAAUGAAGCAUGAAUUCAAUAACACUUCUAUGGAUCAUAAAUUUUGAAAUAAAUGUGCAAAUCAAAGAGGAAUGAGCUUGCAGAAGAACUAGAGUAUUAUUCAUCGCAUAUAGCUAGUGAAGUUUAAGACAAGCAAUUCACAUCAAAAGAGAUCAUUUUUUGCAUCUAAGAUCUAACAUUGAAAGUUGGCCAACAUGCAUUGCAACUUUGAGAAAUGAACCUAUUGACACAUAUGUAGCCAUGAUGGUGUACUACACUUGAGAUUCCUUACAAGUUCUUGCAAGCCACAGACAAUGAAAUUGUCGUAACUUGUAAGUGAAAACUGUAUUCAAGAAGGGAGCACAUGUAGGAGCCUUACUCAAUAACAACCAAAUUGCCCCAAUUCAUAUACAACUAGUGCAGUGUAGCAAUUACCAAGCAAGAAGUACAUGAACCCAUAAUACCAGCCCCAUCAGAUUAAAAUAUAUAACAACACAACCAACUUCAACAUAGGAGACCAAUUACAUGUGCACUCAAAAGUUCCAUACAAAGAUUGUAGAUAUGAGCACAUCCGGACACUAUGAUCUUGGUAAAUAUUGGACAGUAUAGAUAAACAAUGUCCUAUGCUCAUGACCACAUAAAGAAAAUGGUACAUAUGCAUCAGAACAAUCUUGUACAGAAAAAAAAUCAAAAAAUGGCCACCUUUGGGACUGCCACCUAAUGUACCCAAUUAGAACCUACCCUAGUGCUUUCUAAACCACUGAUACGAAAACUAAGAGAUCUGAAAGUGAAAGGUACUUUCCAUUGCUAAAAGGAAACACUCUGCUUUCUCCUGAGAAAUCUGAGCCUUUGAGCAUACUACCAAAAACCUAUACAGGAAGUUAUCCUCUCUAUAAACUCCAAUUCACAUGCAAAACCACCGACUCUAUACUUAAACCACCUACAUCAUAUUCGAUUCUCCUAACAACAGUUAGUGAAGAUCUAUUUUGUGAUUCUCCCUCCAGACCAUCCACAGGUUCAAACUAAUACUGUCUAAAGCAACUAUUGAGAACCAUCCUAUCCAUUUACAAUCUACUAUUCAAACUUUGACUGGGUUUCUUAUGCUCAUGCAAAUUGUUAUAAGUAUAAUUCUUCAUGGUGAUUCUAGUACAUCUUUUUGCGGCUUUAAAUAACUAUAUAUUUGAAAAUUAUUAACAGACAAAGUUUGAAUAAUAAAAGUCAAAGUUAACAGAAAUUUGCAAACGAGGUGAGUACCACUCAUAAUUCUUCUAACAUUCUAGAAGAAUUCAGACACCAAGUGGUCAAUACUUAGCUACAAAAAUCCUAGGAAUCAAAAUAAAGAAUAAUAAGUUUUCUAUAAACUAGAAAUUUGAAAAGAAUCAGGUAAUAAGAACACAUGUCCUUUGUAAAAGACUAAAUGAAAAGAUAUUAGCAUAGUGGCACUAUUCUUUCCUUACAAAGAACAUAUCUAAUACUAAAAAAAUUGUCUCAAAAUAUCUAAUCACAAGAAAAGUCCUUAAACUAUUUUGAUACCACAGGACUCAUAGCAAAAUGCAUAGUGUUGCAUAACCGCCAGCUCUUCUGGAGCAUUUAUGCGUCACCAUCUCUUUUCUAGAUUACCAGAAAUCCUUAUAGCCGAUCAGCCUUGAUGGCUUUCAUCCUAAACUCUACAAGACUACUCAGAAGCUUCUACGCGCUUAGGCACCAAACUUGCACGAGAGACUACUAAGCACCACCACCAACUACGGCAUACCUAACACAAACUUCGAAUCUAUCAGCAUUCCACAAGGGCCUAAUUAACAUGUAACACGACUACCAAACAAAAUCGAAACUAGCAGCAGGUAACCUGAUGUUCCUCCUCAACUCAAAACCCUGAACAUCUACGCAUACAAGUCCCAAAAAUCCCACUAAAUCGACCACUCGCCAUUUCGGAAUCAACAGCGGCAAGCAAAUGGUCCCUACUACUAGCAAACCCAAAUCCGAACGCCUAGCGUAACCCGAUGACCCGCACGGUGCCAGAUCUGGGGGGGCGCCCGCUAGAUCCGUCCCAACGGGGUCGCGAAGUACAGAUCGGGAGGUCCGGUGCACCAGACGAGAUGAUGGACUUAGAGGAGUCCGGGUGCUGCGUACCUCAGCGAGGGACGGCGUCUUGGCUUCCGCGGCCAUGGGCGCAGCAGCAGCCUCGAAGCUUCUAGAAGUGGCGGCUGCGAGGAGUGAGGGAGAAGAGGGGAAGGAGUCGACUCAGGCCUCGGAGCGAUAGAAAAGGGUGGGUGGCGAGGGCCGAAGCGAGGGACUUUUCCGGGGGCCUGCGAAGUGUACGAGUGAUCUGGGCCGUUCUAUCAGAAAGCAACCGACAUGAGGCAAAUGGGCCGUUCUCUCUCUUUGCAACUGGUUAGUAGGGCCUUGUUUAGUUCACCCCGAAAUCAAAAAGUUUUCAAAAUUCCCCGUCACAUCGAAUCUUGCGGCGCAUGUAUGAAGCAUUAAAUAUAGAUAAAAACAAAAACUAAUUACACAAUUUGUCUGUAAAUCGCGAGACGAAUCUUUUGAUCCUAGUUAGUUCAUGAUUGGACAAUAUUUGUUAAAUAAAAACGAAAGUGCUACAGUAGCGAAAUCCGAAAUUUUUUCGGAACUAAACAAGGCCUAGGUAGGUAAAGUUUACCGUCUGUCACAUCGAAUAUUUGGACACAUACAUAGAGUACUAAAUAUAGAAUAUUUACAAAACUAAAAACAUAGAUAGAGAGUAAUUUACGAGACGAAUCUUUUGAGCCUAAUUAGUCCAUAAUUGGACACUAAUUUUUAAAUAAGACGAAAAUGCUACUCCCUCCAUCCCAAAUUGUAAGUCAUUCCAAGAAUCUUGGAGAGUCAAAACAUUUUCACGUUUGACCAAAAUUAUAGAGAAAAAUACUAAGAUUUGUAACGUAAAGUGAAUAUACUAUGAAAAUAUAAUUAAGAAAGAAUCUAAUGAUACUUAGUUAGUACCAUAAUAAUUAUUAUUUUAUAAUAUAAAAUUGGUCAAACUUAGAACACCAAGAUUCUUGGAAUGACUUACAAUUUGGGAUGGAAGAAGUAUAUGUUAAACUUUAACACACCCCAAACACCCCGCUGUCGACAAAGAAUAUAAUUAUAGAAAACACGUCGAUCAAACUAGCUUAAGUCUUAUUUGGUGAAUUUCGGCUCCUGCUGCUAUACUGAUUUAUUAUGAUAGAAAAGUAAUAUUAUAUGUUGAAAUUAGUGCUAAUAAGUUCAAACAAACGGUGUGUAAAUUUAACCAAAUUUAUAGUAAAUACCAUUAGCAUUUAUGUCUCUAAAUAAAUUUAUUAUAAAAUUAUAUUGUAUAACUAAUUUAAUGAUACUUAUUUUGUUUCAUAAGUAUAAGUAUUUUUUAUAUAGUUUCAAUCAAACUUUAAAGUGUUUAAAUCCUUGGAAUGCGAGAAUUACAUCUUUUUGUGGGCAGAGAGAGUAUUUUCUAACUUCAACUUUAGAAAAAAUCAUUUUAUUAAAAUAACUUCUUCUUAUCAUAGAAAAUAGCAAAUGUCUAGAAUAUUUUUUUCUAUAUCCACUUUAUCUCUCCCACGCUCGCCACACUACACACAUCUCUUCCUUCUUCUCGCAUGCUUCCGCUGGAUGCUACACCACCGUUGCAAGUCCGUUCGCUUGUCUUAUCAGUCGUAUUUUUUCUAUCAGUCAACAAUAUUUUUCUUUCACGAUAAAUCAACGAAUAAUAUUUUCAGUCAUAGCUUUUCAAACCAGCGAACAUGCUUGCGUGGCCCUGCGUUGACUCGUCUUUGGUCCUCCCAUCGUUGGGCCACCCUCAUGUCGAGAAAUGAAUUUUGACAAAUAGUUGGAGAUGUUUAGCAUCCUAAUCUUCGGGUGCCAUGCAAUCUAGCACUCCACUAUUACGCAAAUCAAAGAUAGAAAGUUUCUUUGUUUUAGGAUAUGCCUCAGAAGCGUAGCCAAAUUGAUCUCGGAACUCUGGUAAGCUAGCUACCAUGCACAGACGACCUGGUGAGAGUCUGAGAUGAUUGUAACAACUUUUAAAAAAGGGGGUCGAUUACAUUUGGAAAGCCGUCAUCAUCAUCAUGCAUGUGUGUAGUGCCUAACUAAUUAACAACAUCAUCCUUUUUGCCUGCACGGCGAUGUGUUUGUCGAGCCAUGCGCGCUUUGGAUUUGGAUUUACAUGCCUGCCUCCGAUCUGAUAAUGAUACUCUGUUUUCUAUCGCAAAAAAAGAAACAAAAACGAGAGGGGAUAGUUGUUCCUCUUUUGAUGCUACAUGCUCAGGGUCCGGCGUGGCGGGCACAUGGUCGAUACGCGCAUGCCAACCUAUUCUUUUGCGAUUCCAAGGUCCGUCGAUGUGUCUCGUUUUGGUCCCCUUGUCUGUUGUUUUCAGGCCUGGUUUAGUUCAUCUUAAAAUUUAAAAACUUUUUAAAAUUUUCUAUCGUAUUAAAUCUUACGAUACAUUAAAUAUAAAUUAAAAAUAAUUAAUUAUACAGUUAGUCUGUAAUUUACGAUAUGAAUUUUUUUAAUCUAAUUAAUUUAUGGUUAAAAUAAUUAUUAAAUACAAACAAAAAUAUUACAGUACUAAAAUCUAAAAACUUUUUGACGUAAAAACCAGGCAUGCAAGGCUGGAUGUUCUCGGCGUCCGAGGAAACUCUUGUGAUAGUGCCACACUGGUGCUUUUGUUUUUAUAAAAGCUAGGCCUUGUUUAGUUUAAAAAAAUUAUAAAAUUUUUUAGAUUUUCUGUCACAUCAAAUCUUACGGCAUAUGCAUUGAACAUUAAAUAUAGAUAAAAAAAUAACUAAUUGCAUAUUUUACCUGUAGUUUGUGAGACGAAUCUUUUAAGCCUAAUUAGUUCAUGAUUGAACAAUAUUUGUCAAAUACAAACGAAAAUGUUACAGUGUCCUUUUUGCAAACUUUUUGGAACUACAGGUCUUGUUUACAUCCAAAAAGUUUUUGGAUUUUGAUACUGUAGCACUUUCGUUUUAUUUGUGAAACAUUGUCCAAUUAUGGAGUAACUAGACUUAAAAGAUUCGUCUCGUGAUUUACGGGCAAACUGUGCAAUUAGUCUUUAUUUUUAUCUAUAUUUAAUGCUCCAUGCAUGUGCUGUAAGAUUCACUGUGACAAAGAAUCUUGAAAAGUUUUUUGAUGUGACGGAAAAUCUUGAAAUACUCCAGUAAUUUUGUACAGAAAGGAGAAGUAAAAUUAAAAUGUAUUUCUCUUGUACUGUUUUAUUACGUACUACGCACACGCAAAAUGUACAAACUGCUUGGUUUCCCGCCGCCACACGCUACAUGCUGCUUGUGGCGCCACCGAGACCGUCGUGGCAUAUAUAGAAAUUUAAGUCACGGCUGUGACAGAAAACCAACUAGUAGAAGUUUUGUGGCGUGACGCAAAAUUAGCUAGUAACUUUUUUCUUUAGCAAGGAGACCUUUGCAUGGCGUGGCAAAACUACGCGGGCAACUGAACGAUUAAUCAGGCCACUAUCAUUUACCUUACUGUUUUUUUUUGCGAGGAUUACUGAAUCUAGUUAAGAUGGUUUUAGUUUCUGGAAACGAGUGAAACAAACAAUGGUAAAAUAUAGUAGCAAAUUACUAUAAAAAGUACCUCUUUUUUCCCUGUCAGGAACGUAGUAAUAUACAAAUCUCAGACCUUGUUUAGUUACACCUAAAAUCUAAAAACUUCUCAAGAUUCUUACACCGAAUCUUACGAUAUAUGAAGCAUUAAAUAUAGAUAAAAAUAACUAAUUAUACAGUUUGUCUAUAAUUUACAAGACAAUUUUUUUGAACUUAGUUACUCUAUGGUUAAACAAUAAUUGUCAAAUACAAACAAAAAUGUUACAAUACCAAAAAAAUUUCCACCCACAAAACUAAACAUGAGUGUAAAGUUAAAACCAGAUAUCGAUGCUAUUCCAAAAAUUUUUGGAAAAUCGACACCGUAGAAAUUUCGUUUGUAUUUAACAAAUAUUGUCUAAUCAUGGACUAACUACACUUAAAAGAUUCGUCUCAUCUUAUUCCGACCAAACUGUGUAAUUAGUUUUUUAUUUUCGUCUAUAUUUAAUACUCAAUGCAUAUGUCUAAAGAUUCGAGGUGACGGGGAAUCUAAAAAGUUUUGUAAAAUUUUUUGGGACUAAACAAGGCCUAAGUUUAAUUGAAAACCGUAUAAAGUUUGAUUAAAAAUAUUCAGAUAUCGAAAGCUAUGGCCCUGACCCCUCCCCUGUGUCUGUGUUAGACUUGGACGGCGACCCACCGGCUUGGCAACUCCCCGGACGGCAAGCGCGGCGACACAUGGCCGGGGUACAGUACAGCGCUACGUCUCUUUCUCCCCGCUCGCGCGGCCCAGUGCAAGUGCCGACCUCAAACUCAACUCCGCCUCCACUCCUGGACCAGCUGACCUCCCGCUCCCGCUCCCGCUCCGCCCCAUUCCCACCACCACCACCGGGGCCCAGACAGGCGCCCAAUCUCCACCCCACGCCGCGCCUUCGCCGUCUUCUUCCUCUGCUGCGGUCGGUUAGCCUGGCCGUGGCCGCCUCCUGCUCUUCUUCGAUCUCGCGCUGCGAGCUGCGAUAUGGAGCGGUACGAGGUGAUUAGGGACAUCGGGUCGGGCAACUUCGGGGUGGCCAAGCUCGUCCGGGACGUCACCACCAAGGAGCUCUUCGCCGUCAAGUUCAUCGAGAGAGGGCAGAAGGUAAUCAAUCAAUCGCAAAUCAUCGCCCGCCCUUUACCUUCCUCAAUCCCCCUCUUCAAAGAUCAUUUUUCCCCCCUCCCCUCCUCCUCCUCCAAAGGAGUCUCCUUGGUGAACAUACGCGACUAGCCUGCUUCGUCUCUUCCGCGUCGUCGUCUGAUCGCGAACGCGAGCACCCCUCCAAAAUGUUGGGGGAUUCAGUUUCGUCCUGAAAUCUCAGCGGCCUUCAGAUCCAUCAGACGGAGGUUUGCACUCCACGUUCGAGACUACAGAUGCAUCGGCCCGAGUGAUUUUGUUAUGCUUGUCAGAGCUUUUUUUUUUCCUUCUUCUUCAGGGUACUGAUUAGUAUCCCGUUUUGUCUGAUUUGAUACGCUGUUUAUCACAAAAAAGUUUUCCCAAGAACAAAAUAACUGGCGGAUAGUAUACAGGGAGACUCACUUCCCGGUAGUUUUGGUCCCUUUUUCCCCCGGCUAAAAUUGCAACUUGACGGCUUGUGUAAUUGGUCGAUUCCCCAGUCUUGCUUGACCGGAGACCUCCUUGAUCUUUGAGUAGUACACGUGAUGGUUUAAUUAAUAAAGCAAGUCUUGCGUACGGCAUUUAGCCCCCAAGGAAGCUACCAGAACCAGACUGAUCUACAAUUAGUAACUUCUUGUUAUUAUAUAACGUAUUCUAAGAGUUCCAAACUAGCAUUUGCUUUCAGUGACUACUGUUUUUCGAUACAGUUCGGUAUCACCCUGGAACAUGCUAAACUUGUUUGAGCUCAUUCCCUUUACUUUAAUGGUUUGGAUGGCCUCUCCAAGAUUAAUAUAUACACUAUCUUUUGGUGGAUGUUUCUAGCAUAUGCGUGAUCUGUUCAUGCAUGCCUGUGAACACGGGGAGUUCAUUAAUUGACGCUACAGUUUAGUAUGCUACGCUGUCCAUUGCUCGUUUCUUCUUUUUGUGAGGCUCUGUCCAUCGCCUGAAUAUAAUAUAGGAGGAGGAGUAUUCGGGGAUUUCUUUCUCUAUACUUUAUGCCAGCUGCUGUGGUCACACGUUGUCAAGUUUAUCUAUACUUCCAUUACAAGUUACUUUUUUUUUUGCUUGGAGGAUCCUCCAUAUAAUCAUCAUAUUACACAUUGGCCCCCUUUGGAACACGGAUUUUUUUACUGUUCCUGCAUUUUUCAUGUGAAAAAUUAAAUGAACUGAUUCCUGCGUUCCAAAGGGGCCUUGAACAUAAUCUAGCUCAGCUGAUUAAUCAAUCUCACAUCUUUUUUCUUGUCUCGUAGAUUGAUGAACAUGUUCAGAGGGAGAUUAUGAACCACCGGUCCCUGAAGCACCCAAACAUAAUUAGAUUCAAGGAGGUAAAUUUCUGAGACAUCUAUGUUGGAAAGGACAUGUUCUGAUAUGAGUUUGAAGUUGUGUGAUUGAUAGCUACAUACCUAACUGUCUUGAAACUGUUACUUUUGAUGCUUUGUAAACGAGAAAAAAACAAAUAUGUUUCUGUUCUUAUGGUUUCAAGUAAGCCAGCCAACCGAACGGACCCACAUGUAACAGCUAGAGUACAAUAACUGAUAAGCAUUCAUGUGCAAUUAUUUCUUCUCUUCUCCACAAAGACCUAUUCCAGAUAGAAAGUGAUGGCUAUCUGUAGUCCUUUAUUUCCGGUACAGGGAUAAACGGAAUAACGUGGAAGUCUACUUGCAUACUUCUAAGGCCAUGUACAGUGCACAGGCUCUUACAAAAGCGCUUAGAGGGAGAGAGAAAAAAUUACUGCAGCAAGCGUCUCUCAGGUAGCUAAACUUACAAUGGAAAAAUAAAACAAAGGCGCUUAGCUCGUUCGGUACGAACCGUUUUGUGCGGCAGUGAAGCCUGGGAUCAUGCAAGAGCCAGUCUAAGCGCUGCUGCUUUUCCGAGCGUCGGUGCCGUCCGCAAGCGCCUGAUUUGGAUCAGGCUGGAGUACACAUUGGCAAAAAUGCAGCCCAACGGCCCAUAACUGCCCAUAAGCAUCGACCAUUGUAUAGGCCCUAAGGGUUCGUCUGAUGGCAACUCCAGUGUGAUAGUAUCUAUGAUAGAAAAGUCAACAGGCUAACCAGGGUACUUGGUACUUCUAUUUUUUUCCCUAAUAAGUGGGACCAGUUAGGCUCUCCUUUAAAUGCUUAUUGACUUUAUUUUUUUCCCUAAUAAGUCAACGAGUUUAUUUGUUGUCUACAUCCCCAGGACAUUUCAACACAUUGUCAUUGUGUAAUGUAUUUACAGCAGUAAUGCACAUUGUCAUCAAGGCUCCUUUUAUAUCCUUUGCCUGUUGAACGAGAUGUUUGAGCCACACUUGUGAAUAGUGUGCUGGUGAUGGCACGUUUUUAGAUAUGUUUUAUUGUUAUGCGACUCUUAGAACCCCAUUCAUUUACCACUUAUCUCUUUUUUUAAUAAAGGACUUGCCUCUGUCUUGUACUUAUAUCUCUGACUCUAUCUGCUAUUUCUUUCCAUUUCAUCAUUGAACACCUGCUUUGAACUGAUUGUCAAGGUUUAAUCACCAAAAAUCAUUUCUAGGUUGAAAAUUAAAGUAGUACUUAGUUUUUCAGGUCGUGCUAACUCCCACACAUUUGGCAAUAGUUAUGGAAUAUGCUGCUGGGGGUGAACUAUUUGAAAGGAUUUGUAAUGCGGGGAGAUUCAGUGAGAAUGAGGUAAAGAAUGUUCUCCACAAGCUUUUGGUAUUUUGUUAUGACAGAGUAUGUCAUUGCAUCCACUGAUUACUACUUACUCUUAAUAGGCAAGGUUCUUCUUCCAACAACUGAUUUCGGGAGUGAGCUAUUGUCAUUCCAUGGUACAAAUUCUGGCAAGUUGCUUUCAUGUAAUAGCUUUGGUCGAACAUUACUAACUCAGUGCCUUUCCCCUGCAGCAAGUAUGUCAUAGAGACCUGAAACUAGAAAACACUCUCUUAGAUGGUAGUGUUGCACCUCGGCUCAAGAUCUGCGAUUUCGGUUACUCCAAGGUAAUUCCUGUGUAGAUUAUAGUAGUCUCUCAAGGUGUCAUUUUUCAUCACCUGAAGUCCUGAACUACUUCCUUCCUUUUGGGCCCUUUCCAUUUUCAGUCUUCUGUUCUUCACUCUCAACCAAAAUCAACUGUUGGCACACCUGCAUAUAUUGCUCCCGAGGUCCUCUCUAGAAAAGAGUAUGAUGGAAAGGUAAUGUCUGUUGUAUUAGUGCAUUAUUUUGAUGUUCUAAGCAUUGCAACUGAAACCUUGAAACACCGCAUGUGAAAUUUUAGGUUGCUGAUGUUUGGUCUUGCGGAGUCACACUAUAUGUGAUGCUUGUCGGCGCAUAUCCUUUUGAAGACCCUGAUGACCCAAAGAACUUCCGCAAGACGAUCACUGUGAGUACACCAAUACCCCGCUUUUAUGGUUUUCGCAAAAAUCAGAAAGUUAUUUUGUUUAGUAAUAAAUCUGGACAAUGAUAUGGAACUCGUUGGUGUCUUGCACAGAGAAUACUCAGCGUACAGUACUCAAUUCCAGACUAUGUUCGUGUUUCAACGGAGUGCAGACAUCUGCUGUCUCGGAUAUUUGUUGGAAAUCCUGAGCAGGUACUUUUUUUUUCUCCCCUCUUGAAAUAAUUCGGCUUACAAGUGCCAAGCUACAUCAUUUUUAAGUAAUCUGUUACGCUCAUAAUUUGCCUCGCUGCCGCCGCCACAGAGAAUAACCAUUCCUGAGAUCAAGAACCACCCGUGGUUCCUCAAGAACCUGCCCGUGGAGAUGACCGACGAGUACCAGCAGAGCAUGCAGCAGCUGGCAGACAUGAACACCCCGGGGCAGAGCCUGGAGGAGGUCAUGGCGAUCAUCCAGGAGGCGCAGAAGCCAGGGGACGCCGUGAGCCUCGCCGGGCAGCUGCCCUCCUGCCUGGGGAGCAUGGACCUUGAUGACAUUGAUUUGGACGAUAUCGAUGACAUUGACAUCGAGAACAGCGGCGACUUCGUUUGUGCGGUGUGAUGCUCUCAUGCGUGCGUGAUUCAGGUAGCAGAGUAGCAGAGAGCUCCCUUUGGUGGUUGGUGUAUGUCUGUAGAUCCUUGUUGUGUUAUGUUACUUCCAUUCGUUUCUGGAUCACGCAUGUUGUGUAACCGAGAAAUUGGCGUUCCUGUGGACAACAUACAUGAUGAACUUAUAUGCUGAAAUCUACCGAAAAUCCUCUGUGAUCUGCUGAAUGAGCACAUCGGUUCCCCUGCGAUUCCUGUUGCCAAUCUGUAAUGGUACAACCUUGUAUUACUUUAUCGAUCUGCAGUUCAUUUGGAAAGAAUAGAAUCAUUUCAGGGAUCCCAAUAUUAGUAGACAGUUGUGAAUUUUGUUGUCGACAUUGUGAUCCUAACAUAAAUUUAUCACUCUACGCUAGGAGCAAGUUUUUACUACAAGAUAUGAUAGGAAGCUAGUGCAUGCAUACCCGAUCGGAGAAAUGUACUAACAAAAUACAGAGUACAGACAAAAGGUCAUUUAUGACUUUCAUUUUUCGCUCUGUUCGCUUGAGUUUAUUCGUUGAAUCUGAGUGUUUUUCUCUCAUAGCGAACAUUAUUUUCAGCCAUGACUUUCUUGACAGCUCCGAAUUCGGUAGGGAACCUGAGUUUACAAAUUAUACAAAAGACACGAGCAAAACCUUUGUUACUUUCAAUAAAGCACAAUAGUAGAAGGCGUAGUAUACAGUUGCAGUUUGUGAAAUCUUCGACGACGGAAAUGACAGAAACUGCACAAGUCAUUUUUUUCUCUCCCUUCAGCUACAGUAGAGUAUUUUCAAUUGGAGCAGUGAGCCCUAAACAAAAGAACCAGUUAAUGGCGCGCCCGUGCCACGUCACACAACCAAAGAAUGAAGAAGGUGAUCGAUCACCCAUCGUGGAGUGGAGACUGGAGAGACGACGUCGAAGAACGCGAUCAGUCUGACCGGAUCGAUGCGCAAAGCCGGCGGCCACGAACGAACGCAGAUCGGUUGGCUACACGCCACGGGUGUUCUUGGCGGGACGCCCGAGGUCCGCCGCCGGGGCCUACGGCGGCGCCAUCGUCCUCUCGUGCUUGCGAGGCAGCAGGUGCAGCGGCGCGCGCAGGCCCAGCACAACGGUUCGCUCCACCCGUGGCGGCGGCGGCGGCGGCGCUGAUGAGCCGGGUGGUGGCAGCUGAAACGGCUCGAAGACGCGCGCGCGGUGCUCCUCCUCCUCCUCCUCCUUCGGGGCUUGCUGGGCGUACUCGGCGCGGGCGUCGCGCAGCAGCAGGGUCAUGAACAGCUCCAUGGCCUCCUCGUCGCCCACGUUGUCGAACACGUCCUCCCAGCGCUUCACCAGCUCGGCCCUCGACAUGCGCCGCGGGACACCGUCGUCUUUGCCCCCCGCCGCCGCCGCCGCCGCCAUGGCUUCGAGUUCGUGAUGCCGGACGAUCGAUCGUUACGCGUGCUCAGCGCGCGGGGCGGCGCGCUAGCUUGCUGCAAGCGUCGUCGUCGGCGGUGCGCGGAUGUCUAGUUCUUUUCGAUUAGAACUAGGCAGCGAUGGGAGAGUUGCAACGGUGACCGCGUGGUCGUCGGCUUAUAUGGCGGGGAGCACGCGUGCAUGCGGCGGGACGGGACUUAUUCAGAAGCGGACUCGAACUCGGAUCCCACACGGUUCUCAGUUGCGCCGAGUUCGGUGGUUUCGCUUCGGUUUCGGCUUUCCAAAGUGACGUUCGUGAUUUCAUUCUGAUUUCUUCCUACUAUUUGGACAUUACAAACAUAUGGGCGCUGCGCUGCCGCGCCUGUAAUAGAUUUGCCCGACGUUGAAUUUGCUUUUCGUCUACCAGUGGAAAUUGUAGGAAGAGGAGUAAUGAUACUAGGCACCCGAUCGAGAAAAAAAAAUUUCUUUUCAUUAUAUAUGCAUAAAGUAUUAAAUAUAGAUAAAAAAUAUCUAAUUAUAUAGCUAGUUUACAUGUAAUUUGCAAGACGAAUCUUUUAAAACUAAGUAAUCUAUGAUUGAACACUAAUUGCUAAAUAAAACGAAAUGCUACAGUAGCCUAAUCUAAAAAUUUUCAUGACCUAAACAAGCCCUAUCUGAUGCUACAGUAGUGACCCAGAACUCAACCGCUGCACUGUACAGGCACUUGAAAAAUUUGUAUAUACUAUCCAAUCAUGUGACUCACUACUAAAAUCGAGAACUGCAUUGUGUUCCUAAAAUUUGUAUACUAUGCAUACUUCGGUACGAUUUCACUACUGAAACCGAGUACUCGUUGGGCAAUGGGCACCCAGUUUCCCACUUAUCGUAAAUUUAAAUUUAAAUGACCAUCUCACUAACAUUUUGCCCUGGCAGGUCUCUGCAUUACGCUUCUGUUGGAGAUUUGGGUUGAUCAAACUCGGCGCUGACGACUUCGACAAGCAAUUCUGGGUCAUGUACGUCCAAGGACUCAAGGUGUUCUUGGUCCGAAUGGUGUUCCUCGGCGCUGCUGCCGCCUCCAACCCAAAGGCGCAACCAAGUCGUCGUGGUGGAGGAGAUCGGCGAGAACUCCAUCACGAUGUCGAUCUCCCUAAAGUACAAUCAGAGAGGCCAAGGAAAUAGGCAAUAGUCUGAUUUUUUUUUUAGUUCGGAAGGAGCUAUUUUGAGUGUCACAUCAGAUGUUGACGGAAAUUUUAUUUACAAGAUGUUCUAGCACAUUUUGAUGAAGGUACGAUUGUGAAAUAAAAUUACGCUGCAGAAAUCUUGUAUGACUAGAAGCAUUGGGCGGCUUUGUCGUGCCGUUCAUGGUGCUGGCCAGUGUAUCAUUGCUGAUGGGGCCGGUGUGAGGUGUAUAUUUUGGUCUCUUCACUUGCUGACCAUAACUUGUCUGAUUGAAUCGUUUCAGUUUCGUGUCCUAUAAUAGUAAUUCUCUAAUUGUAUAUUGAACCCAUGUUUUAAUCAAUCUUGAUCCUGUACUGAGUGCAUAAAUUACUUGGACCAAACUGAGUACACAGUUAGAUUAGUAGGAGGAAGUACUAAAAUAUUGCAUUUUUUAAGUUCAACGGGGGGUAGUGUACAGUAUAUGACGAGGUCACAAUAUGCUGUUGGAUAGCAAGCUGCGCUAUGCUACGCGGGUGCUCAAAAGCUGGAGUUCGACUAAGAUUGGCAGCGUCCGGUUUCAACUUGCACUGGUGCGCGAGUUGCUGCUACGCUUUGAUGAGGCACAAGAUUGCAGAGUGUUAUCGACACGUGAAUUUGAACUACGAAAAAAAAUUAAAACCACGAACCUUCGGCCUUCACGUCACUAGCAAGAACGAUAGCCAGAUAGAGGUCCUGCCUGCUGUUCUUAGCCGAGGGGGAUGCCAACACAAAAUUCUUCAACUUACAAGCUUGCCACAAGAAGAGAAAGGGCAGAAUUGACUCUCUCACGGUGGAGGGAUCUCUGGUUGUGAGCAGCGAGGCAAUGGCCAUAGCUCUGUAGUAGGAAACGCUUUGUGCAUCUUUUGUGACCAAGCAGCGGAGACAAUGGACCAUAUUAUUUUAGGAUGUGUUUUCAGCAGGGAAGUCUGGAAUCUGUGCCUUAGUUCUUUUUGACUAUAAAAUCUGAUGAACAUCCAGGAGAUGGACACCAUGGAGUGGUGGAUCAGCAGUAGGAAAUGCUUGCCCAAACUAUCCAUUGAGGUUUUGACUCACUGGUGUUUCUAGUCAGUUGGAGCCUCUAGAAAGAGCGAAAUGCACAUACUUUCACUAGAAAAACAAGCCAACCAAUGACACUCCUUCAAACCAUCCUUCAAGUGUCCAUGUGGAUAGCUGCAGGUUUCAGAGCCCUGGGAGCUGUCCACGCCCUUCUUGUUUAGGGCUGGUGGAGUUAGUCGUUUUUUAUGUCCUAAUGUAAUCUCAACUUUAAACUCUUGUGAGCUUGGUGUGUUUCGGUAAUCUUUGGAUUACCGUGAGUUGUACUUUAACUAUCUUUUUCUUUUUAAUGAAAUACAAUGCCAUGCAUGUUCUCAAAAAAAAAAAAAAAACAUAAGGUGAAGAUAUAACUGUCAUGGUCUACCAAUCAAAUGAGAUCUAGUACAAUAGCAUAGUAGUUGUUCUUUACCACGAAGCUAGAAAAGCUAUUUUGGAAGCGGUCUGAUAAAACUACCAAUGCAAAAACCAUGGCAGCAGGAAUCACAACUUUGGGACGAAAGAGGUGGUACUCCAGCACCACCCAAUUGUAUUUCUAUUGCAUUCUUCCCUUUUUUUUACCGGUAAUGCCAAAUCUAGCAGUUGCACAAAUAUUAAUAACAGUUAAUAAUCAUAAUGCAAGUAAUCAAAUAAUGGGGAAACUGAUUGCAGCUUACGUCUAAAUCUCGAAACCUACUUCUUCACUUUCUUCAUUAGAAAAAAAUGUGGAAUACCUUCCAUCGACAGGAACGAGCGGGUAUCACCUAGUUAAUAUAAAAGGGCAGUUCUCUGCCAGUUUUACAUAUAGAGUAUAAUUUAACAGUUUACAUACUGCAGAAUUAUCUGCCUACUGCCCAGGAAAAUAUGAACAUGCCGUGUCAAGCCUUCGUUAUUUUUCUACUAUAUUCGAAGUUACAUUUGUCGGAGGAACAACAUACAUGUCUGUUUAGAAGGUUUUCUUUGUCUUGCUGGUGUUAGUUAUGUUGCGCGAACUACAGAGUGCAUGACUCCUGGUACCGAUUCAGCUCUCCCCAGACUAAGUUUUCAACAUCCUCCCAGGACGUUGCAGCCCUCAGCUCCUUCCACAAGCCGAAUAUAGCUCCCAAAACAUUGUCCUCGUGUAGUAUACAGUAGCACCUGCAAAGAAAAAAAUGCUAGAUGAGAAUGUUGCUACUGUUUUGCCCAAAGGGCAGCCACCAUUUUGCUACUUCCACUGAUGUGGUAUAUCAGUCGCGCCCUCGCGUAUAACAGAACAUGAUGGGUGAGACUUCUGUUGAAAAUCCUAUGUGGCUAUGUGUAACACUAGUGACUUUCAAAGUGCAAAGAAAUUGGAGACAGACAGAACCAAACAUGGUGGCAAUAAUCCAUUGACCUGGGAUAUAGAUAUAGCAAACAGAAUGGUAAAACAUAUAUGAAGAA